rnacentral:lncRNA from 1 species
AUGCCCACAGGAGGUUCAGUAGCUGAUAAAGACGCACUUUGCUGAUUUCGGAGCAGUGAAGGAGAGAGUUGCCAAGAAGGUGGAGAUGGACCGUCGAGCAGCAGAGCCAUCUUCCUAUCACUCCAGAGAGUCAGAGGGGGUGUCCACUCUAGAUGACAAGGCACGGAUCUAGGCUGUCAUGCAGGCGAGCCCAGAUGAUCAGUGGUAGCAAGAUGAGGUAGCUAUGCAUAAGGCUCGAUUUGGGCCCUCAUACUACGAGUCGAGUUUCGGUUCUGCGAGCAACAGGCCAGAUCUAGAGUUCAGGAGGACCACCUCAGUCAGAAAGGCCGUCAGCAGAGACGAUGGCCGGAUUGCAUCUAUGAUGGAGGCUUUUGGUAGCAGAAAGUAGUCAUCUAGAGAGAUUCCACCAGCAGCAGCAAUCCAUGAUUUAAUUCUACAUGCCUUCCCCACCAGAGAAUUGAUUUAAUGCUGAAGAAGGAUAAGAAGAAGAAUAUGUGGCGAGCUAUUAGAAUCUAAUUCCACUUCAGCUACAUCCAAACGAAUGUAGCAGACAAUACGUACUAUAGAUUUGUCAUUUCCGCCAUACAGGCUAUCGGUCUUGGUGUAGAUCCUCCAGGCCUGAAGAAUAUCUACAGUAAACUUCUUGACAGUAAUAAAGAGCUAGAGAAAUUGAUUGCCUCCUACAAGAACAAGUGGCCUACAUAUGGAUUGACUGAUGUGUGAUGGUUGGACCGGGCCUACUAGACGAAGCAUCAUCAACUUUCUAACAUAUUGUGAUAUGAAGACUUUCUUCCACAAGUCGGUUAAUGCUUCUAAUCAAGUGCUCGACGCCGCGUACAUCCUCAAACUGAUGGAGGAGGUGAUUGAUCAAGUAGGAGAGAAGAAUAUCGUGCAGGUCAUCACUGAUAAUGGGGCGCAAUAUAAAACUGUCAAAAAGAUCUUGAUGGAGCAGCGGUCAUAUAUUUUCUGGACCCCAUGUGCUACACAUUGUAUCGGCCUCAUGUUGAUAGACAUUGUGACGAUUCGUGGGUGCAGCGGAUAAUGGAGACAGCCCAAACCAUCACCAGGUUUGCUACGUGAUCCUUUCACUGAUGACAUAGGCUAUCAAGUGCAAUGUAGUUGGUAGCAAAUCGUGCGACUCAUGGUCUCAAGAUCUCUCUAUGCCAGAUGUUUGUCAGUCCCAAGUGGCAGAAAAGUAGAUAUGCAAGGGUCGGCACUGAAGGAAGUAAUGUCGAGGACUUGGUGACGAGGCGGACAUUCUGGCAAUGGGCCACUGCGAUAGUGAAGGCUAUCAUACCAUUGUAUAAAGUGCUUUGGACCAUAGACAGUGAGAGGUACACCUAGAUGGAAUUUCUAUACCACAUGAUGGAGGGGGAAAAGACUCAGACAAUUGAGGCAGAUCUAGAUAUCUACAAGAGACAUCGCCACUCGAUCUGAUUUUAGAUAUCGGUACGUAUGAACUUUAAAUGUAUGUAAUUGAUUGUAUUAUUUUUUAAUUUUUAUGUCACUACUUGAUUUGAGGAUUUUUAUGUCGUUCAUUUUAUAUUUUGUAUCAUUUUAAAGCAAUAAAAUGCAUCAUCUAGGUUAAAUCAAGAUCAUAGAAAUAUCAAAAAACAUCAAAUUAGACUUAAAUUCAGUGAAAAAGUUCAAAAAGUGUGAUUACCAAUUAAUUUUUUUGAAAACUCCAAAAAAAAUUGACCGUGCCGGUCCGUGCCGUACUGGUUCGGUACGGUACCGAACCGUACCAGGCGCCAACCAGUAUGGGAAGCGAUACGGGUUCGGCGGGCCUUGGAACUAAUGCAUAGAUUUGACAAAAAGUAUGACAGUCUCACCCAAAUGGAAAAGAAAAACAACUCAUGUAAAUCUAGUAGACCGAUGCAACAACUAAUUCAGUGACAAAAUGCAAAUUGCUUGUCCCCAGUUCAACAAGCAAAAAUUAUCAUAAGCAAGAAUAUAAUGUCAAUCAUGCCAACAACUUAAGUAUAACUUAACAAUUAGUAAGGUAUACCAUUAGAAAUUUCAGUCAUUCAACAAUGCAAUGGAUGGAAAACAUGGGAAAAGGAAUUAGACAUGGAGAAUUCAUGCAUAAAUAUGCAUAGAUGGUGUUUAAAAGACCCUCUUUUAUGAAAACUAAACACCACCCACCAACUAAAAAUUUUAAAAAAAAAGUUUUAUCACCGUAUCAAGAAUCUGGACAGUAAACAGCUAUUACCAUAGAAAACACAGUGAUGGCAUAACAAGAUAAUAUGAAGAAUCUAUGUAAUAAAGAAAUCAGUAUAGGACCAAAGGGUCAUCAGGUAACCAAUGGCAUAUUAUAUUUGGUAAACAAAUUGACAGGGUGAAGUAAAGGAAACCUUUUCGUAAUCAAAAAAUGUUGUAGAAUUGUCGUGGGAAUCCAAAGAAGCUGGUUCUUUACAUGGACGCGAAAAUUUCCAAGCACAUUGUUCCCAAACCCGGCCUGUCCAUCUACUAAGAAGCUGAAAACCUUCAACAACCAUGUCAUACAUGUUUCCUUUGGCUUCCCUAGACCACUCACUAUCUGCACCAUCUGUUGACUUCAGUAUUACAAUCUGGCAGGAAGAAAUCAAUGAAAAGGCAUGACAGCAAUUAGAUAUAGCUAAAGCAAUUUAUUAGAGCACUGCAUAUAAAACUUUGUAAAUUAGUAAUAUUGGAUAUUGUCACCAGAGUUACACAAAUAAUCCAUGUUUACCAUCAUCAAACAAGAUAUUAACAGCAAAUGCUUUUAUGCAGAUCUAUCAUAAGUUAAUGGAAUUAGUAGCACACGCCUAAGCUAGAUUUUGCAAAAUAUGUACCAAUGUAGAUAACCAAGUAAUGCCAAGUAAGCAUCUCACUACACAUUUUAUGUUUAGAAGAAUGAAACAACAGAAGCAUAAAAAAUUAAUAGGCAUUCAAGCUUGUGUGGGAAAGCAGCACUUCUUAGUGGGUUGAAAAGAUAAAAACGAGCACCUGAUUCAUGGCCGAAGCAAAGCGAAUAGAGAAGUCAUCAUGCUCCACACGAAUACUUCCAAUAUGAUUCACAAUCAAAUAAUGCCUCUGAUAAGUGGAUUAGUUAAGGCAUUUAGUGCAAGGAAAGCCAUUGGAGGUAAACAUUCUCGUACCACAAAAGUGAUGAUUUCAAAUAUUGCAUUAAAGUAACUAGUGACAAAUUAAAUUAAGGAUAUCAAAUGAGGAUUGUUAAUAAGCCACUGAGCAGAUAAGCCACAAUUGAUCAUUUAGACACGAAGAUAUAUAAAGGCGGUUCUUCAAAUUCAAAGAGUGACUUCAAGCGAAAAACUAAGAAAUACAAAUGUAGAAACCUGACCUGAAAUCAAACCUAAUAUAUCUUGAGUGACAUAUGCACACUUAGAUACAAACAUAGACAAAUACAUAUACUCUUAUAAAAUUACACAUGCAUUCACAAACAUAGAGAAUACACUCCCUCAUCUUUCUGGUAACAUUAAAGCCUUCUUCCUAUCAAUGCAAGAUCAAAAAUGAGCUUUCAAAUUCAAAGUUGAUGAUCCAUAGUUCCAUACAAUUGAUGAUGAUCUACAAUACCUAAAAUGUCCAAGGUCUACAGAACUAUACCAAGGCAUAGGAUACUAUACUAGUGUGGAACCAGGAUAAUUCCUAGAUUCAAUUUAGUAUAUGAGUUGAACCAAUCUGAAUCGGGUGGAACUAGCCCAUACCGCCCAAUUUUAGGUGGUACUAUGCUGGAAGUGAGAAAAAAGUGUCGUGAACCAAAGUCAAUACAGGGGUCACGCCGUACUAUACUAACUAAACGGUAAGGUACCGGUAUGGUACCCAAUAUAGGUUUUGUGAACCUUGAAAAUACCCAUAAACCAAAAAUCAUAUGUUUUGGAGACCAUUUACCUAUGCAUCAAGUGGAAACAAAAUGAAAAGUAUCAAUAGGCUAUUAUAUUAAAUUGGAUGACGUUGCAUAUGAAUUUUAGAUUCACAGCAUAGAGUAUGAUUAAGGAUUAACGAAGUGAUGCCAAUGCCUUGACCCAUCACCUACCAACAUGGUAUAUACCAAGGUUCACCGAACUGAAACUGGAGGAUAUAUCGGCUGGUGGCCAAUUCAGCAUGGUACAAGUUUGUACCGUGCCAUUCCAAGACAUACCAACAUAGGGAGAGCCAAAGAGAGGGGGAGAUGGAGAAAAGGAGACCGAACGAAAAAGAGGGAGGGAGAGGGAGGAGUGAGGAAAGGGAAGGACCAAGGGAAGCUCUAACCCUAACACGAGAGAGAGAGGAGGGGGAAGGGAGGAGAGGGAGNNNNNNNNNNGAUAGGUCUUUCUUUUUACGGAACGUAGUCCGUAACAUUGUAUCUAACUUAUCCUGCACAAAAUCCUGAACCUCUGCAUGGAUUGUUUCCCACAAAGCAUCUGCUACCAGUGUGUCACAACGUUGCAUCAUCAAACCAACACUCUUUAUGUAACUAACAAGCUCUAACAGAGCUUUUCUUUCUUCUGUUGUAUAAUUCCAUCGAACCACCUUUUCGUAAUCAAAAAAUGUUGUAGAAUUGUCGUGGGAAUCCAAAGAAGCUGGUUCUUUACAUGGACGCGAAAAUUUCCAAGCACAUUGUUCCCAAACCCGGCCUGUCCAUCUACUAAGAAGCUGAAAACCUUCAACAACCAUGUCAUACAUGUUUCCUUUGGCUUCCCUAGACCACUCACUAUCUGCACCAUCUGUUGACUUCAGUAUUACAAUCUGAUUCAUGGCCGAAGCAAAGCGAAUAGAGAAGUCAUCAUGCUCCACACGAAUACUUCCAAUAUGAUUCACAAUCAAAUAAUGCCUCUAGGAGGAGGAGGAGAGGACGAGAACCGUAAACCCUAACCCUAACGACGAGAGAGAGAGAGAGAGAGAGAGGGAGGAGAGGGUGGGAGGAGGGACUUAGCGGAAUGCAGACAUCGAGUAUCCCAAGCCAACAAGUGGAGGAAACCAAUCGCAAGUGGGCGACAAACAAUUUAAUAGCCGAGGAAGGGGAGAGGUUUAAGCGAACUGGUCAUGUCCCAUUUUAAUAGCCUGAGCUGUGUUGGUCCCCGGCCGGUCUAGUUUGAUACGCUCCGAACUGGUUGGUUCGGCAAACCAUGACUAUAUGCCAUUGCAUCGUGCACGGCUGACAUAUGAAAUUGGAUGGCAUGGCACUAGCACAAUAUAGCAUAGCCAUCAUGAACCAGCAAAGCUAGCACCUCUAUCCAAAUUAGGACCACUUGAUGCAUAGGUAAAUGAUCUGUAAAAUAUAUAUAUCUAGUUUCUAGGUAACUUAUAUGUUGCAGAUCAUAAUCAAUGGUGUAGAUCCUUAAAAUAAAAGUUCUAACAUUGAUUUUUGUACUAUUAGAGACUAAAACCUCAAUCCCACCAAAAGGAGAGUAAAUGCUCCCUCUUUCACUCUCUCUGCAUAAAUUCAUGUGCAUGGACGCAUGCAUACACAUGUAUACAGUAUGUGUAUAUGAUUUAUACUGUAAUACAAAAUGCAUUGUCUCUCAAAUGUAGUAUUAAAUUAAAUUCCAAAAAUUUCAUCAUGAGUUAAAUAGUAUCAUAGCAUCAUUGUAAAAAUAGUAUAAUAGAACCAUUAUAAAUGCACUUUUUUUGGUGCAAACUUAAUAUCUUUCCAGCAAUAUAGCAAGGCUAUCUUAUAUAUGAGGAUAUAUUGUCAAAUAUUAUAGCUUAGAAUGGAGAUUUGCCAUCUAAAUCUUGUGAUCCAAGGAUAUAAGUCCCGCCGGAGAGCUAUCGAUACCAUAUCAUUUCAACAAGAGCCUAGGCAUGGAGCACCACCAAGACACUUGUUGUCUCUUCAAUUGGGCUCACUAGAAUGGGAUGGUACUAUCGAUACCAUAUAAUUUUGAUAGAAAACAAGGACUAAGACACUUGCGGGAUGUUGAUUCCCACUUAAACUGGGAAAGGGCCUAAACCAUUCUUGGGCAUCCAAACUCUCCAGAUAAAUCGGGAUGGAAUCUUCUUUUUUCAUGUUGCCUAUUGGAUGUUUUAGUAUGACCCUACUGAAUUAUCCUAUCCCAGUACGGUACCAUCCUAGAAGCAAACUAGGAAAGGGCCUAGCAUUUAAACCCGUCUUUCAAACUAUGAUCUUGUUUGGAUGCUAGAAGAUCUUACCGCUCCAAUAAGAUCUUUUAGCAUAGCUCUCCUGCUUAAAGUAUGGCAGAAGCUAGGUGGUGGAAAGAGAUUAUGGUUGUUGGAGGAGCAAGUUAUCCCUGGUUUCAGGGAUAUAGUAAAUCACCUUGGAAAAUAUGUUUAUCAUCCCUAAAAACUAGUAUUAGUUGCUCCUCUAGCCGCUCAAUCUCUCUUAAUCAUUCCUAGCUUUCACCAUACCUUCUGAAGAGGGUCCCGCCAAAAGAUCUUAUCGGUCCGAUAAGAUCCUCUGACAUCCAAAUAAACAAUGCACAAGCAACUUGGCCUUUACCAUAUCAAAGUUAUACUAUCAGCCAUGGUCUGCCAAAUUGCCCAGUUCACCCCAUACCAGGGUACGCCGUACCGGUACCAGUAGGCAUACCAGUCGCCUACCGGACCAGUAUGGUUCUGGUUCGGACUGAUUUAAACCGGUACUAAACCGAAAGAGAGGUAAAAGUGCACACGGAUAUUUUCUACGAGUGCACGCAAAGGCGCGCGCGUCUUAAACCGGUACCAAACUGGAAGAGAGUUAAAAGCACGCAUGGAUAUUUUCCGUGAGCGCGCGCGGACGCGCACGCUCCGCGUGAAAUGUCACUCUAUGGCAUUAAAUAUCCUCUCGCGCGGGGCAGCGCACGGGCGCGGUUCCUAGCGCAGGAAACAGCGUGGGCGCUCUUCCCCGCUUGCAAGCGCGCUACCCCACACGCAGGCCAGUGUGAACCGAUCUGGUACGGGCUGAAUCGGCCGGUAUGGGCCGGUUCAGCAUACCAUGCCUAUACCGAACCGAGCCGAUGUGAAACCGACAUGGUUCGACUUUUUUUUGGGAAAAUAGCUUGAACCGCUCUGAACCAGGCAGUUUGGAGCAGAACUAGCGCAAACUGCUUGGCUCGGUUCGCACUAAUUAGAACUGGUUCGAACCGAUUCCCCCCCCUCCCUCUUUUGAUAUCGCAAAAGGCUUGAAAAUGGCCUGUUGAACCAACGUGAACCGGGCUCUGUUGAACUAGGGUGAAUCGCCUAGUUCACCCUGUAUUGAACAGGUACCAUGCCGAAUUGAUAGCCGACCAGCAUAAGCCACAAUACUGGUUUAACUAACCUUAUUAUCAAUAUUCUAUGCCAAUAUCUAAAUAUCAACAAUAGCUACUAAAUUCAAAACAAUAUAGUCAAGGAAUGCAUAGAAGAAUGAGAAAUGUCAAAUGAGAUCAAAGGUAGGAUUUAACCUAUUAGGCUUGGGUGCCAUGUAAAUCCUUGUGAAUACUAUAGAAAAUAAGAAAUAUCAAAAAAUAUUGCAGAGGAGCCUUGCAUAAGUUAGUAUAGCAAAUAUUAUAUUUAUUAACCUUGAUCCUUCACUUAGAGCAUGCUCUCAUAGUUUGAUUUAAUUAUGGUUCUGAUCCAACAGAUAUUUUGGUGGUUUUGAACGAUCCAAGAUUUAAUCCAACUCAUAUGAAUAAUUUUAUUUUGAAAAUAAAUUAGAGAAUAAUAAAUGAUGGAAAAAGAGAAUGGUUGACAAAAGGUAAUAAAUAGUAAAAGAUAGAAUAAAUAAUAGAUAUCAUUUUUAGUACAACAUAUUUUUGAAGUAUAAUAUAAUCCAUAUGCUAAUAGAGGUAUCUAAAUGUAGACUCCAUUAAUUAUGACAUCAAUUCAAGAAACGACUAGGAAAGUAGAAAAAUAUUGACUACAAGUUGUAACAGGUAAGAAUGACCAUAAGAUAGGACCAUUGAUCUAACAAGUAUCAUAUCUAGCAUCAGCUCUAACCUUAUAAUGUCAUGAUCAUGGUAUGCUAAACCGGCCCGUACUGGCCGGUUCAGCACAUACCGUACCGGUCCGACCCCUGACCGGUAUGGUAUGGCGGUGGAAAACGGUUUCGUCCCUAGGGUUGGACCGGUACGGUAUGGCGGUGAAAAAUGGUUCCGGCUUAUACCGGUGCGAACCGGACCGGUACGCGCUGGGCAGCGCCGCCGCACGCGAGAGGCACCGUGCCCGCGCGCGUUGUGGGCAGCGCAAACCGAUUCGGACCGGUUCGUGUGCUGAACCUGUCCGGUAGGCCACCGGUACGCCUACCAGUACCAGUUCGGCAAACCAUGGUCAUGAUCCCAGAAGAGUCAACUGCUAACAGGAAUAAAAAUAAAAAUUAUUCAAUCGAAUAAUAGUUCCAACUUGUUUCUAAACAAAAUAAAUGUUUGUAAUCAAGUUAAAAUUUAAGAAACUUCCAUUUUUCCCCUAAAAAGAAAUUAAAUUUAAAAGUGAAAUUUCUUAAUUGCAUAGAAACUUGUUUACCAAAGUUGGAGAUUUCAUGUUGUGUGCAUGUGGAAACAUAAAAAUUCAUAUUAUUCGCAACAUUUUAAAGGGAAUUAAAAUACCAAAGUUUUAUUCUAUUAUUUCAACAAUAAAGUAAUUCACUAAGUUGUAGAUUCAUAAAUUGCUUAUACAAGUUAAAAAAUAAUGCUUCCAACUACUUCCAAAAUCCUGCAAUAUCUGAGUUUCAUAUUAUGAAAAUUCAUUCUAAUAGCCUGAUCUAGAAAUUUCUUUCUAAAAUCUUGAUCUAUCAUGCAUGGCCCCCACCUCAAUUUCAAAGAAGAAAAAACACAUAGCAAGGCAAUGAACCUUUAAUACAGCUAUUUUGACAAAAAAUGAAUUAUUCCACCCAAAACACAACCAAAUUCCUGUAAUUCAUACUGUUUCAGUCUUUCAGAUCAGCUAACUACUCCAUUUGGGAUGGAACAUUUUGAUUUGCACCAAAAGUUAAAAUUUCAAUAUAAAAGUGCACUUAACAUACAAACACAAAAAAAUAAUAGUAUAACUAUAUUAAGAGUUUGUAUAGCAAGUAUAUCUAUUUUUCUAAAAGUUUACUUUUCAGCCCAUUACCUAAUUCCUAUUUUCCUGCUUGAAGGAUCUCCGGACCAACCCAAUUUUAAGACGUCCCACUCCAUCUCACUUCACCGCAAUACAACUGAUUUAACGGCAUACAAUUUUUAUUUAGCAGGUUUUUAUCUCCAAAAAGGAGAAAAUCUAGACAUAUACAAAAUUUAUAUCUGCCACAUGAAAUUAGACCUAAGAGUAUGUGCAACGCUUGAAUUUGUUACAAUUUUUGAUUGAUCUCAGUGUCAUCAGAAUACCAUUGUUUCCCAACUUAAAGAUAACAGUUGUUCUUUCAGCAUUUCAUCCUCUGCAUUAUUCUUAGUUCAGUUCUUAAAAAAUCUCUCAAUAGCUUUUUUUGUCUCCAAUCUGAUGAAGAAAGUUUCAUACCUUUACCAUUUUAUGCAAGAAAAGCCCCUAGACCAACCAAACUUUAUUUCCUGCAUCAGCCUCCAAUGUUAUAUACUGUUGACUGUAUUAGUUGUGUGCCCAAUUGCACCAAUGCUUUCAGAACAUGCUUCAUCAAACCAGCUUCAAAGCUGGAAAUUCAUAUACCAUACAAGCUUUCAAGGAAACCAACGAAGCAGUUCUUCGAUCUUUAUUAUUGUUAUGUUAUACAAUAAAAUAAAAUUCACAUGCCACAUAUUCCUACUGUAUAACUCAUUAUGUGUUUGUUAACUCAGCGAUGAAAAGAAUCAAUGAAAAAUCUUUACAAAUCAGAAUGUAUAAAGCGAAUCUGAUUGCAAGCCUUCCUAGAUAUCAUAAAGAUUAGAUGUGCAUCAUCCGAUGAAAUAAGAAAAGUAAUUGGCUCUGCUUCACCGUCUCACAACCUUGGGAGGACCCAUACGGGUGUAUCCACAUUGGAUGUGCACUAGAUAGAUCUUGGAAACCUAUUAAGAUCAAGGAACCCAAAUAACAACUCCCUGCUAGCCUUUAUAGGUGAGGUCCUAGGUCGUUACAAAUGGUAUUAGAGCAAACUCAACCCAUGGCCUAUGCAGACUAGGAGACACAGCAACACGGGCCUUUUUCAAAUUGGCCAUGUGCCAAUCCUGGAAUUUGUGAUUAGACUUGUUUGUAAUUAAAUUUGAUUGGAUUUAGACCCUUGGCCUAGCGAGGAUGCUAAAUCUUAAAUGGGAGGAGCAUGUGAGGACCCAUGCGGACAUGUGUUUAGACCCACAUCUACUGCACACUGGGUCAAUCUUAGAUACUUACACAAGACCAAGGAACCGAAAUAACCCUCACUAGUCACUAGCCUUCUUGGGUCAAGUCCUAGGUAAUUACAUUCCUCCAAUUCAAAAAACUGUCUAGUUUGAUUAGCAAAGAAGACAGCAACACCACAAUUUAAUAGAAAAUUUGACACCAAAUACAUUAUUCAUCUAUCUGACUAUAGUCAUAUGUAAUCACUUUCCUAACAAGGAUCAGUACUUAGUCAAACAAGACCUUCCAAAUACUCUCAAAACAUUCAUGAAAUUUCCCAUCUUCAGAAAUCAGAACCUUAUCUACAAACUGAAGGCCCCUCAUAUAGAUUGGCCCUAGUUUUCAUUACACAUGACCACAUCUGACUUUACAAAUUGAACUUUUCAGCUGGUAUUAGCCAGAUGAAGACAAAAUUGUCUGCAUCAAUAAAUGGACUACAUUUUGAGAUCACCAACAAAAUUUAGAUAAAAAGCAUAAUUUAAAUAAUAUAAUUCAGAACAAGUAGGAUAUUCUUGUAGCUCACGAGAGGGAAUUUCAUGUGGUGCAGGAAGAGUAAGAAGACGAGUUUGACUAGAAAAACUUGGAAAGUACAUUGACAGUUCCUUUAACAUUGCAGCAGGUGAAAGAUGAAGAUCUGGAAAUGCAGGAAUAACAAUAUCAUUCUGCAAAAACAGAUCAACGAGCAGUGCAUAGAUUAGAAUACAAUAAAUAUGUACUAUGCAUGCCGCAAGUUAAUUAAGCACUCAUCUACCAUGAAUCAUAUAAUGUGUACUGUAGAAGAUAAAUAUAUUAAUCAGCAGAAAGAAAUACAUAAUAUCAAACCUUAAAUAUAUUAAGAAGGCGGUUGAUUUUCACCCUCUUAUACAGUGAUUCGCUAUCUUUCUCUGACGAAGUCGCCAAAACAACAAGAACAGGCAAGACGCGAAGUAGAGUGUGGCGCUCUGGAAAUAGGAGUGCAAAGUCUAGUUCCAAAGAUUCAACACAAAAGACAAUGAGGACUUGCAGAAUGUCUUCUACACUAUACUUGAAUCAAGGACCUCAAAUUUAACAUGAAGAACGUCAGAAAUGUUACAUUCACUCGACACGAAAAUGCUGACCAAAAUAUAUCUAAGCAGUUCUGUUAGUAAAGCUAACAAACUAUGCACAUGCCCAUAUACUAACUUAAUAUGAUUAAAGAAAGACUCCCAGUAUGUGUUCCAGACUCAGUUUAAAUAGGAUAAAGCAACAUAAUACCAUGGUAUAGUCUCCAUAAAAAGAUACAGACAUUUUGGUAUAAUCUCUAUUUUUGGCCAUUCUUUUGCACUUGAAAAUGCAAUUUAGUGCACUUUCUAGAAAUAGAAUCAUAAACUAAAAGCAUAUAUAAGAGUAGAUGUGUGUCCUGGAGAUUGAUAAUAGGAGCUGCAAAUGAGUCAGGCUGCAUCUGGGUCAAACUUGACCCAUCUAUAAAACUCAAACUGGGUUUGAGACCAUGAUUCAGGCCCAGAUCAAACCCAUAACUUGCUGGAUCUGGAUCUCGGUUGCUUCAUUUUUUUCAGUCCAUCUCAGGUGAAGUCUUACUUUUGAGGGCUUAAUAUUUGGAAAAAAAAUCAGAUCCACUCAGAUUAGACCAAGUAGAGUGACUCUUAUCUCAUGAUUGGGUCAGACGAAGAUCAUGUAUGGAUGCUAUACAAAUCUAUUUGACCCAAUUUCACCCUUAUUGAUAGUAAAUUGAAUAUUUGUAAGAACACGUGUACUUAUCACAUAUGAUGAAAAAGUAAAACUCCAACUUGCAGAAAACACAUUAUGUUAAGCAGCUUUUACAAGUGAUGCUUAUCAACUACUUGCCCUGAAAUAGCAUACCCUUCUCAAAUGCCAAAAGAUAACAUGACGGAUUUCUCAAGAAAUGUCACAAGAAUUCUAGGUUGUUCUGCAUGCUUUUCUUUAUCAGCUCGAAUGAUUUCAACUUGAAGUUUAAAUUUGAAAACCAUUAUAUUCCUUUCAGCUUCCUAUGUUACAUAUUUUACAUCGUUAGUGUAGCAAUAUUAUUUUGAAGCAGAAUAGAAUAAAGCUAAAAACCAUUGCAAGCCACUUGAGCUUCCAUUAACAGUUGUCAGCGCUGCAACUGAAGAUUUUUAAGAGGUAGGAUACGUGUUCGUGCGGAACAUCUCUGCAUGUAAGUUCAGUAAAAUAGCCCACCUUGUGCUUAAGAAAAUCUGCAAAUCACAAGAGCAUGAACAAUGAGUUCCAUAGUUGUAAUAACAAUGGUGAUGCUGUAGUCUAAAGGAACAAUGAAAAUCAUCCAAUUAAAAUGAGUGGCGCAACUGUAAAAGUUAUGAGCUCUACUGACAAAAAAGAUGCUACAACAUUAAGAUCAGAAACAUUGGGAAAAAAGGAAAUGUCAAAUGUAGAACUGAGUAACCUGCAGAUCAUCCAACUCCUCUCUCAUUGAAUCAGUGUCCUGCCACUGAGCACUUACUUGUGUGAAUGUUCUGCAAAUUAGUAUACCAGAUUUAUUAUUUUUUUGUAAAAAAUCAUGUUUAGAUUCUGCAGAAUAGGCUGAAACUAUAAAAUAGGUAGUGAAUUAAGCUAUUACAUAUGAACAGAUAAUUCGGAAAAUAUGCAAUAGUGGAUUAGACAGUAGGUAUGCUAAACCAAAAUUCAUGAAGCAUGAAACCCAAACGUAACUACCAACUGAAUAUAAUCUACAGAAGGAAACUAAUCAAAUAUUGGCCCUCCAGGUGAAAGCAAUAACUGUAGACAGCAGAAUCAUUAUCGUUGCUGCAGAUUGUUUUUUGUAUUAUACUAUUGCAUUAUGAAAUACGAGUAUGCAGAUAUUAUUUUAGUCAUCUAAUACUCACAUGUUACACAAGUACACCAUAAAAUAUUGCAUGUAGAAGUUUUACCGCUCAUCCCAUCAUGAAAAUGACUGCAAUUUGGUGCUCACAUGUACCAACCUUGACAAAAUUGGACUCAGGCUUCUCAACCAAGGAUUCAAAUACAGAGGUAGGGGAUUAAACCUAUCCUUGGUUAUUGUAUAUAGCAUACCAACACAUGUACCAGCGGACACAGCUGUAAUCCUAUGUAGGCUCAUUUUUGGCCAACUUUUUUUAUUUAUUUUAGGAUUAUAAUCAUCAUACAUGAUGAAACUAUGAAAGUUCAAGACACAUCGAGAUAGAAUACAUUAAGUUUUAGGAGCAUCGACAUAUAGAUUCUAAUAUUAAAGAAGAUUUUCCAAGGUAUAUGAUAUUUGCACUAGUGUUGAUUGAUGAGAAAACAACAUUAAAUGAUAAAUUGCAUUUUUGAAAGCAAGCUUUCAAGAAUAAGAGUUUAAAUCAAUGAAGUAAAGACAAAUAUGUGGAAUGCAGAUUUAGUGAAAAUGAAAAUCAAGACAAGGUCCCAAUUAAGAUGAAGAACAAGAGAUGCCAAAAAGUGAGUGAUUUCGAUAUUGGGAUCUGUUAGACCCAAAAGAGAAAAUGGUUGGUUAGUUGAACACUUAUGUAAUAAAAUUAUGUCAGAUGAAAUUUGGAUGACUAAGAAUGUUAGGCAAUAAAGAGAGUUUAGAAAAAGAAGUUGACUGUAAUGGAAAUAAGAAUAUUAAAAUGAAUAUGUAGUAAAACUAUAAAGGAAAGGUUUAGAAAUUACACUAGAAAGGCAGUAGAAGUUGUCGACAUUUAGAGCAAAGAGUUGGAGGAUCAAUUGAAAUAGUAUGAGCAUCUAUAACGAAGCCUUGAAGAGACUAUAGUAUCGAGAGAUACUUUAAUUUGUAUUGAACGAUCCAAGAAAAGGAGGGGAAGAUCUAAGAUAACAAGGAUGGAUGUUGUGAGAAAAGAUAUAAAAAAACUGAAAAUAACAUUAGAGGUAGCCCUAUAGAAGAAAACGUGACAAACAAGGAUCCAUGGUUAUGUUAACUAAACUGAUUUGGUUCUUACCUUUGUUAUUUGUUCCUUUUUAUCAUAAUAAAGGGUUUAUCCAGGCAAACAUCUUUCUUUCGAGUCAUAACGCAUAAGUCAUUACUUAAGUUAUUCAAAUAGCUCCCCAGUCUCUCCCCCUCCCCCUCCCACCAUCACCUGAUGAAAAACCAAAAAUAAAUGGGAGUUUAUAAAAAUCCCACACAAUAUCAAGCAAUAUCGAGCGGUUCAUAAUGUGCCCUAGUCUGGUAGAGAUAGGAGAUUUUGUCAUAGUUCGCAAAUACCAAAGUGUACCAACUACCAAGGCCCCUAUACCACUUUAAGGCUGGUAAGGGACUAGUAUGCUCAGUACUUCAACAUUGUUUUCAACAAUUGACAAAGGUUCGCCGUCUCAAUAUUGGAUACCAUACCAGUACCAUCCUAUUACAGUAUCGGUACGCGAUACAAUAUAGUAAAGUUCAGAGCUAGCAUUGCCAUAUCAGUUGGUAUUGUACCAUACCAGUACCAAACCAAUAUGCAACUCGUACUAUACCAACACUCGGUAUGCCUCGCUGCCUCAUACCGUACCAUAUACUGAUACUAUAAUAGGAUGGUACAUGUAUAGGAUCCGGUACUGAAAUGGUAUCAACAUACCAAGUGUCGAUACGGUAUGGUACUAUAUACUGGUUCGGUACCGGUACAGCACGAUACAUCCGAUAUGGCGAACGUUAAUUGACAUCAAAAGUCAUUGUUCUUAUCAUCUGCUUAACCAAUUUUGUUAUGUCCAUGAUCUGAACCACAUAUAAGUUUCCUUUAGUAAUCUUAUGGUUAAGUCAAUUAGUUGUCUUCAUAUUCCAGAUCAACUAGACUCCAAUAUAUUUUGAACAUUCCCAUAACUUUACAUGAACUUGGUUUUAUCUCUAUUAGGUUAUCAUUUUUUAUUCCACUAUCCCAUCUUCUUUGCUUUAUUGCCUAAUUGGAGAUCCUUGCAUAACAUGCUUCGAAAACUUCUCCAAUAGAAGAUGAUUAAGAAUUUUUUUUCAAAAGAAUGCUCUAGUUCAAUGAGGCUCUCACCUCAAUGCAUCUUUUUCUGGCCUAGCAAGAUGAUGCCUUACAAAAGACACUUCACUAGGAUAGCUUUCUAAAAAUGCUUUGGCGCCACUUAGCCUAACUCAACUGUCGCGCUCGUAGUGCCUUUGACAGCAAGAGCAAAUAUAGUAUUUAGAAUCAUCAACCAUGGUUCCUUGUACCAUUUUUAAUCGCCCGAUUUGGAGUGUACCAAGCCGAACCAAUGGUAAACUGGGAUGGCUCGCCCUGUCGGAUUGGAACAAAGGUCAAACCGCUUCAAACUGGGCAAUUCAGAGCGAUACUGGGGUGAACCAUGCAAUUCACACAGCCUCGACUUGCCAAUCACCCUCCCCCCUCCCCCACGCUUCAAUAAUAGAGGAGGGAAGCUGCCCCAUGCCCUCUCAGCCCUCUCAUUUUUCAAAAAAAUCUUGAAAACAAGGAGAAAGCUCCAAAUUUCACAAGUUCAAGCCAAAUCCAAGUAAAAAUAGGUGAUGACCCUUUUCCCUUGCUCAUCUUUUUUUAUUUAGAGGCUGAAAAUCGGCAAUAAAAUGGAAAAUAGGGGGGCAUGCCAAAACUUUUAAUUUUGGCACGAUUUCAUAAUAUGUUGUAGAUCUAUGGAUGAUCUACACAAUGCCAACAAAAUGCUUAUUUUUCAUUAACUCUAUUUUUAAAUUAAAAAUAUAUUUACAAAAAAUUAUAAAAUUAGUAGCAUGAUUAGGGGCAUGCAUGCUGCUCUCUAUCCAAAUUUGGUGCAAUUUAUUUAAGUUUGGGCAAUGAUCAUGUGCAUCAUGGCAUAGGCCAAAGUUUGAUUAAAUGUUAAAAAUAAGUAGCGUUUUGUGCAUGCCAACAAGCUGAGAAAAAUAUAUACAGCAUCUUUGGUAGAGUGCUACACCGAUCCAAAAUCAAAUUAAUUUUUUGAAUAUUUUAUAUUUAAAUACUACUUCUAAAUAAAAUUAAUAAAAAAUAUUUGUUUAAUAAAAAGUAAAAAAUAAAAAAUAGUAUUAUGCAUGGAUAAUUCAGAAGUAUUUUCUAAGUAGAAAACUAAUUUUUGCAUUAUAGUCUUAAAAAAUUAAUUAAAUAAUGAUAUUUUGAGAUAAAAAUAUAUGUAGCAUCCCCAUUAGGAUUCUACAUUAUUCUAAAUUAAAAUAUAUAUUAUAAUUAAAUAUUAAUUUAUUACAUAAAAAUAAUUAAAAUUAUUUAAGUGUAAAAACGAUAAAAAAUCGUAUUACAUGUGGAUAAUGUAUAAUUCUUUUUUUGGACUAAUUUGGUAAGUUUUAAUCAUAAUGUAAUUUCACUAAUUUUUAUAUAAUUAUCUAAAUAUCUGUUGAUGUAAAAAUGUUUGAUAUGUGCUAGAAAAACUUACAAGAAUGGAUCCGUCCAGAAAGAAGAAUCCAAAGUGUGACAUUGGCUGGGAGCACAAAUAAAUGCUCUCAGGCCGACACCACUAGAGAUGCGGGUGGUGCAGCACAAAGUCUAAGAAAAAAGGGAUAACUAGGUUGAAGCAGCAUAUAGCCAAUGGUUACCCUGACGUGUCCUAAUGCUAGAAAUGUCCACAGGAGGUCUGGUAGCUUAGGAAGCAGCAUCUAACCAGCAUGUAUUUUAUGAUUUAAAUACAUUAAAAUCAAUUCAAUUUGUUGUAUUGUAUGUGUUUUAACUUAUAUGUACAUUGGUUAGUCUAUUCCAAUUCUAUUUCAUGAUAAAAAGGCAUCAAAACAAGGUUAAAAUUGCAAAUUACAAAACAACCCGAAUCAAAUUUCUAAGUAGAAAUAAAAAAAAUGAGAAAAGAAAAUAAUGAAAAAAAACAAAAUAGUGCACCAAUCAAAUGCCCGAUACAGCAAUCCAAAUAGUGUCUGCACGAUACCGAACUAGGUAUCGUAUCAUACUGGUGGCCGACCAGCACAGGUUCCAGUACCAAUUCACUGAACUGGUGAACCUUGUCAUCAACCAUAAAAGGUGGAUUUCUCUAUUGGAAAUAGCUCGAGGAUUACAAGCAACUCCUUGUUCUAAAAGCAUACAGCUAAGGGGGCAGUAGGCAACUCACCUGUACGACUACUAUUUUUUUUAUUGAACACACAAACACUAAUUUCAUGAGAAUAACCUAGAGAAAAUUACAUAAGUAGCAAACAAAUUUCCAAUUAUACACAUUUUUCUUGGAAAUAUGAUAUUGUUGGUCACUAAAAGUGAGGUUCUUUUGCUAUCCAUACAAGUUUCUAGCUAGAUGAUUCUUGGACAGUUGGACCUAACAAGGAUGUGCCUUAAGACAACCUAAUAGCUACAAAGAUUUGCCAUAAGAUGACUUUUUGACACGAUAAGGGACUCAAAUGAGGCAAAUUUGUAGCUGCCAGCAUUGUAACAACCGUCUAACUCAAGCAGAAAGGAUAGCAUUAUCCCUAUCAUUCUAACAUCAUAGUUACAACCACUGGAUUUAGCAAUAUGCUUAAUUCAACUAGAAUUUUCUCGUCGGAGCUCCAAUUGAGAUGAUUCAAGAUGUCUUGGAAACUAACUCAAUACCUAAAACAAUGGAAGAGCCUUGACAAUAUAACUCUAUAUGUGCUCAUCAGAAUGGGGCAAUCUUUAGGACUGAUGUGCACUAGACCAUGGUACACCUUACUGGUCCAUACCAGCAUGUAAAGGGCAACCAUAUCAUACCUGUAUCAAACCGGAAUAUGAUACAGAGGAUGUACCAAGUAUUGAUACAUUGAAUCGGCCGCAUACUAGGCAUACCAAGAUAGUACAGGUACAACAUCCAGUACCGAGAUUGCGAACCUUGCACUAGACUAUCUUCUAGAAGACGACCAGCUAAAAACUUCUGCCAUCUACUAGAAAAGUUGAGCUCCUAGACACUUGUGAAUCAGAAGUCUAGCAUGUGACUCAAUGAAUUAGGUGUCAAGUGUGCCAGGACCCUUGAUGGCAUGUGGGGUGAAGGAAUGUCGUACCAGUUGGUAUCGCCGACCGUACCGCUACCAAACCAAAUACAUGGUACAGGAGGUGUACCGAAUGUCAGUACACCCAACUAACCUCUGUAUCAGGCAUACCAAUAUAGUAAGAUAGGGUCUGGUACCAAUACGGCAUACCUUGGGUGAAUCUAUUCCAUUCACCACUAUUUCACCUCUAAGCCUUAAUCCAAGUUUGUCAUGCAAUGAUCAGUUAGUCACUACUUUUUCCAACUCUAACCGAUUUUCCAUAAGAAUCCAACCACUGCAGGAGAGAUAAAUUUGGAGAGGAGUCAUGGAGAAGUAAAAGAUGGAUCUUGCUAGAUGCAUGUAUGCAAGUUCAAGGACAAUUUAACUAUUAUUCUCAUUUGCAAAAAGCAAUAUGAAAAUCUUCUACUAUAAAAUAUACUUAUUCCAAUCCAGGAUUAAAUAGAGAAAAGAUAAUAUAAGAGCAUAAUCGUGCACAGGUAUUUCCGAAAAAUGAUAAUCAAUAGAAUCUUCUCUAAAAUACGAUGUUUCAUCUUACAAAUCAUGUCUAACUUAAGCUUUUAGGUUGUUCCAAAUAUAUAAUUUGCAUGUUCUUCAUAAUAAAAUACACAACCCAUGAGAAGCACCACCUAAUAAGGCUUUCAAUAAAGUACAACAGCUAAUUUGACAUAAUCAUGAUCGUGUUCAACUCUGUGAUGCGGGUUACCACAUUAAAAAAAAACUACGUUCUAUAAAAGUAUUAUAUAGAUAGUCAAUUGCAUACCUCUUAUACCAUGAAAAAUCAUUAGGUAUGCUUGCCUUAGCAUUUUUAAGAUGAUCGAGUUGCAAUAAAACAUCAAGCAACUUUAACAUAGACCUGAGAUACAAAAGCAAAAUGGUCCAACAGUUGCUCAAAGAGAAGUAUCUGCAAUAUGUAACAUUAUUUGCAACACAAAUACAAAAAUAGAAAUAAGAAUAAAGUUUAUUCAAUAAACAAUAAACCAAACAAAAACAGAAUAGUUAUGUCAUCAACUUUUCCACACGGAUAUGUAACCCUUUACCCCUUUGUAACCCAACGAAAGAAAAUAGCAAUGUAAACUUAAAAAGGAUGAUUUGUGAAAUUAGGCUUACUCCUCGCAAAUUACAAGAUUCGCAUCAUGAAAUGCUAUAACCUUCAGAGUUCAGAGCAUAAUAGAAGGCCAAAAAAUCUCAUAUGGAAACCAUGCAUCGCUACAAAAUAAGUAUGUGAUUACCAUAAAAAGGGUUUAGGACCUUUAAGUCACAAUUAUUUACACGUGCAAGUAGUUGGAUAACGGCAUAUUAUGUUGCAGGAUGAGAUAUGAUGUUCCCUGUGAGUCUAACUUUUUCUGCAUGUGAAUCACAAAAUUGGCAUGAUUGGUGGGUGCACAUUUGUCUCGUUCAUCUCCUACAUCCAGCAUCUUGCAAUAAGUAGUUGCAACCUAAACCCAGGUGUCCAUAGGAUCUCAAUCAGUGUCCACUUCAAUCUAAACAUUUGGAUCUUGUCUGUAUAUUGUCUAGGUCUUCUGAUGUAAGCAGACACCAUAACAACAAAGUGUAUCAAUGUGCAAAGAACAGCAACUGAGCAUUAUUUACAUCUUCGGCUCAAAGAUGUUUGCCAAAGAAAGGAAAAUAAGUUUUGAGAGAAGGACAUAAUGAGACUUCUAAGGUAUGUCACAAUAGUGCAAAAUAUAUAAAUAUAUAUGUAUAUAUUUGAACAAUAUUACUUCCAAAUAUUUAGUAUAUUAAUGAAUAAGAAGCAAAAUUCCAAAAAUUUUAGGUGAAUAGCAGCAGCAUUAGAUAUUACCCUGUGUUCCAAGGAUGAAGGUUUUAAAGUAUAUAGAGAGAAUUAAAAAUUUUCCUGGUCUAUAAGCAUUGGCUGCUAGUUGUAUGAAUUUUCAUUACAAAAUUUUCCUCCUGGCUAAGAAAAUUUCAGAAAAAAAUGAUUAACUCAGGAACACAAUCUAAACCUCUAACAGAGGUUUAAAAGCAAGUGAUUGUUAUAUAGAGAGAAGACAAACCAAAAAUGAGUUGUUGUGGGUCCAUUUAUCAGCCGUUCAGGCCUAGAAAAUCUCUGCAUGUCAGCUGCCAGCUGUAUCAGAUAGCCCAAUAGAGAGUCAAAUGUUAUGAUAAGCUCAAGUGGCAUUACAGAAAACUAUGCAAUAAUGUAACUAAUGUAUCAUGUAGUAAAGAAAAUAUUUAAAUUUCUAGGUUAUGUCUGCUGAAAACCAAGCAAAGCUAACAUGUGGCAUUUGACUACGAGGAAUUGCACCUUUGGGCUUUUGUCUGGGCAAGGCUGGGCCCAAACCCCAGCUGGAAUUUGACGGGGGCUCAAAUCAAGUCCGGUUUAUUGUAAUAGGGUUCAGGCCAGCUUCAGACUUCAGAUCUAAACAAUGCUAUCCAAAUAUUUGCAUCUCAACCUAACACAUAUCAACCCCACUGGUUGCCAACCUAGUACCAUUUCAGGAGCAAAAUUCUCAUUUUUCUUAACUUUUAUUCUUCUUCUUAUGUUAAGCAAUGGACAAAAUGCGUGCCCUGUUGUGUACCCACAGGUAAUACAACCCACACCACGCAAGCAUUGCCACGCGAUAUGCUUUUUGGAGGGAAAAUGGGCUCUCCAAACACAAGCACCAAAGCCACUGGUGGUGGAUGAAAAGCAAACCUCCACCUCUCCCUCCGAGGGCAUUCACCUUCUAUAGAUAUCAUGAUAUAUAGCACUUUGGUCAAGUCUAAUAUAUAGAAGAGAUAUAGUUCUUUCAUGAUCACAUGCAGACAAAAGAAAAAAAUAACAACGUAAAACUAAAUAAGAAAAGACAGGAUAAUGCUUACUUUAGAAGCAGCAGAUGCUUGCCAUCUCUGAAUUUCACGUAAGCGACUCAUCUCCAAGUCAAGAACUUGAUAAGUCUCAAGGUACAGGUCAGCUUGGCUGUGCCUCAUAGAAUCAGGCAACUGCAUCGACACUAGUUAGUUCUUUGUCACACAUAUUUUAAAAUAUAUGCAUAAAGAUAUGCAUUUUUCAGAUCUUGUGGAGUAGAGCUAGGACAUAGUGCUUCACAUAAACUUUAUUAAGUCUAAAGAAGGUAAAAGCAAGGUUUAUCGUACCAGUCGGUAUCAUAACAUACUAAUUGUACCAUAUUAUACCGGGUGUACCGUACCAGUACCAAAUCAAUAUGCAGUCUCGUACCAUAUCGACACUCAGUAUGCAUCGCCGUCUCAUACCGUGUUGCAUAGCAACACUGUAAUAGGAUGGUACCGGCAUAGGAUCCAGUACCAAGACGACGAACCUUGGGUGAAAUAUUUGCUUUCAACCAAUAUUUGUUGCCAAAAUCAUGCUAAAACUAUCAGGCAAGCAAACUCAACAUUCAGCUAUGUGUAACUUGAAAAUUCUUCAACGUUAUGACAUUGCAUCAUUUGGAACCUUGAGCACUACCCUUGAGAGUUGAGGCCAUGUGGGAUGAAAUAUUGCAAGCAGUUUGGAUAGGUAGAGAUGUUUGAUUAGCAUCCAGGCAUAUAUAGAACACCAACCAAUCAUAGAUGAAACCCAAGGAUGUUCCAUCUUUAUAGAGACUAUUGUAUUGCAUCAAAAUUUGGCCAAAGGCCCUUGAGAUAAAAUAAAGCAAAAUCCAUCCAAUAUACCAACUUCCUUGUUUCAUUAUUUUUCUUUUUUUUUGUAGACCAACAAAACAAAUCUUUUCCUCUAACUUAUAUAUGAUAACAUGAAAAUUGAAGCUCGAUAGAAAGGAAUUGACCAUUUUAUGUAAUAAGUCUAAUGAAUAAAAGCUAUUCUGAAGCAGAGUGCAUCCAAUAAUCAAUAAGAAGAAUGCACAUAAAUAUUAGUAAACAAAGAAAAAAAGAAUCUAAUGUUAUGUUGCACAACUUACACUUGCAAUCGAAUUUGUUGCAGGUGUUUCUGAUUGUAUGACACAAUGGUUCCAAUUUCCGAAUUCAGAGCUGCAUGGGAGAGUUUGAUUUAUGCCAUUUUUGUCCUACGGGUGAAAAACAUAAUCUGGGGACUCCAAAACAGUUAUCUCAUGGAUCAGCACUGGGACAAAAUAUCAGGACGAGUCAUCCCUGUUGGUGGAUGGUUAGAGACUCACAUCGAAUAUCACCUCUAGAGGGAGGCAAAUAGCACCACUGACUGGGUGGCUAUGUGUGUGGCUUACCAUAGUGGCACUGUUUUAUGGGAGGCUAGUUCAGUUCUACCUGGAUGCCUCAGGGACAUUGUAGGGGCUAAUGCGAGAGGACUGUGUAUAUACAAGGGCUUUGUAAAGUCGCCAUUACACCAAAAAAAAGAUAAUUCUAUCCUAUAGAGUUUUCUACUUUAAGCCCCAUUUGAAUAAAUAGAUAAAUAAUAAAAGAAACUGAUGAUGACACCAGUGCUUUUAUUAAUCUCACAUGCAUCCAAGGAUCACACAAUGUGCCAAAGAUGAGAUAUUACACAGAUGAUAGAUGUGAAAUCAUCUUCCAACAUGGAUGCUACAAUCAAAUUCAAACUCUUAAUGCCUUGGAAUUUGCAGCCAAUAAGAUUAUUAUGAUUUAUAUAACUUCAUCAUCGUUAUAGCAUGUAUCAGUAUUUCAUUUAUGCAUUAAUUACCAAUUCUGCUUAUACAGAUAGCAUCAUUUGCUCAAAUUUAUUUGUGUAUAACCUUAUUUUAUGUCAUAUGUUUAUCAACCAAACAAUAGAACCCAAAAGUGUAGCUGUUAGGGAACAAGCCAACAGCAUAUCGGGCAUAACAUCACCCUUGGUGCAGACCACAUCUGUGGGAGACUGAAACAGGGGAAGGAUACCAACCAGGUUAAUUACAUAGAUAAUUGGCUCAGAGGGGAUUUGAACUCAAUCACUAGCAAACUUGGCUUUGGUACCACGUUAACUAGCCAAUACAGCCCGAAAAACUUACGACUGUUAUAGGAUGAGCCAAAAAUGUACAUCAGGCUUAACAUAUUUCAGAUUAACAAGCAUCAAGCAACUUCACUCGAUCCAAGUCAUGCUCCUGCUCCUAAACCCACUUCCUGGUGCUUUUCCAAGCAACAAUUUACUCGAGUACCUUCAACUGCUUUUACAGUUUAUCCCAUCAAUCCAAGGCCCAUUGUAGUAUUUGUUUUAUUGGUUUUGAAUCUCUGCAUGAUGCAUUAUUAUGCAACAACCAAAUGAAUAGUAUCUUUUUUAUUGUCUGAGAAUUUCUAUAUUCUUGAUGAUCCAUAUCUUAAUUUUUCAGAGAACGUCACCUCCCCACUCCCAUACUCUUUACAAAGUCAGGCAAAUAACAAUUUCAGACUGUGAGAUCUUUGCUACAUGGUUCCUGUGAACCUUGCUUUUGUAUCAGAAUUGCAAUCCCUUUGUCAAUGCGUCUACGUAAAUUAUUGUUGACAAUUUGACAUUUUCUAUGACCAUACUUUGGAUAUGUGAUUCUAUGUACUGACUGUGUGUUUCUUGUAUUUGUCUGGUGCUUGAAUGAAUUAGUAAUGCUUAAAUCUCUUAGCCACAUAAGAUCUUAGGUUGUAUCUGGAAUGCAUUGGGCAACUUUGCUGGGUAUAGCAAAAUAGCCCUGCCCAACUGGGAGAAAUAGAGAGAAAUUAUUGUCAAGACACCUAUGGGAUGGCUAACAUUAUUUCCAAUUUUCUACCAUUUUCCACUGAAUGAGACUUCCAAAGAAGCGACAUAACUAGCUUCAUUUCACCUUAGCUUCAUUUCACCUUACCCACAUUUACAAAAGAACGAGAAAAGGGAGUUCACAGGUAAACCAAGGUCUAAAAAUCUUGCAUAUCAAUGCUGUACUAUUCACAUAGUACAACAAGACACCGUAUGUCUGCUUGUAUCCGCUCACAGUUUGCCAAACUGGAUGAUAAACCUGUGUCAAUAUAGGUUGAUAUGCCAAGCAGUAUAGGGUUGAUGCAGGAUCAAGACGAUAUGGUAUAGUCAUAGGCAGACCCCUGGGGCAAGAGAGGGCAAUUCAAAAUGAUGGAACUUCUUUAGGGGUUAGUUUUUGCAUCUGUGUUUCCCCUCCUGAAAUUUAUCAAUUUUCUCCAAGUCUAUAUACUGUCAUUGGAGAACUAAGUUAGAAACUUUAAAUAAGAUUCCAAGUAAACGAUUUCCUCAGAAAACAAUUCCAAAUAAAGGAUAUGUGAGCUAAUUUCCGCUGGACUUCUAUUAAGAAGAGUAAAUUGGCACCUACCACGCACAUAACUUGCCAGGAUUUUAGCUUCUUGGUCGCUGAAAUUUUAGUAUUUAAAUCUGGUUGGUAUUAUCUAGAAAUAUAGGUUAACUAACAAAUAAUUAUGGCGCAUUUCCAACCCCCAAAGUGAGAAAUAACUGAAAAGGAAAAGAAAAUGAAGGAAAGGGUUUGUCUUGUUCAACUUUGCUAUAUCAUUGCUUAUUUCUGUUAAAAAAGAUGAAGAAUGAUCGGAUAUAUUUUUCAUACUUAUUUUCUAAUUUUACUUAGAAUCUGCAUUUUUUCAUUUCUAUUAAACACUUCCUUCUAUUUAGAACAAUUAGUUUUAUUCCUAUAAUCCUGUUUGCCUUUUCAAUCUGAUCAAAUUCCUCUAUUCCUGUUAAUUGAUGCAUUCCUAAUCCCUUCAAGUUAAUUAAUUAAUAAGUAGUUCAUUAUCAGUAAUGCUGAAUCAAUCUUUUAUUGCCAAGGCAUGACUUUUUCUAAUAGAAUCCAAUAAGAAGAACAUUGGCAGAAAAAUAGUUUGAAAUCUUAACUGUACCCUGCGACAGAGCUUGGAUCUUCCUCGGGGGGUAGGGGGUUGCGGUUGGACCAACGAAUGUUGAACCGGUACCGGCUCUGACCGGCCCGGUUUGGUGUUAGCCCAUACCGGUUCCAAAUUUUUUUUGGAGCUUUUGGAUGCAUGAANNNNNNNNNNNNNNNNNNNNNNNNNNNNNNNNNNNNNNNNNNNNNNNNNNNNNNNNNNNNNNNNNNNNNNNNNNNNNNNNNNNNNNNNNNNNNNNNNNNNNNNNNNNNNNNNNNNNNNNNNNNNNNNNNNNNNNNNNNNNNNNUUUAUGCAUCCAAAAGCUCCAAAAAAAAUUUGGAACCGGUACGGGCUAACACCAAACCGGGCCGGUCAGAGCCGGUACCGGUUCAACAUUCGUUGGUCCAACCGCAACCCCCUACCCCCCAAGGAAGAUCCAGGCUCUGUCGCAGGGUACAGUUAAGAUUUCAAACUAUUUUUCUGCCAAUGUUCUUCUUAUUGGAUUCUAUUAGAAAAAGUCAUGCCUUGGCAAUAAAAGAUUGAUUCAGCAUUACUGAUAAUGAACUACUUAUUAAUUAAUUAACUAUGGAUCUAAUAUAUUUCAAGUUUAGAAUAUAUUUAACCCCUAGAAAAAGAUCCUGGUUCUAGAAAAAGAUCCUGGUUCCACCACUAGGCACAGUCACGAUUCCAAUCCUUGAUCUAAUCACUGGCAUUUAUGCCAAAAGAAUAUUUUUUUCUCACUAACAGGAAUGAGACGUCUAAAGAAUCAACAUAAGUAUUGGGCCUUCUUACCACAGUUUUAUGAAAUGAAUAGGAAAAGGGACUUCAUGGGAGUAUCUAAAGUCCAAGCACCAACAUAUAUGCCAAAAGAAAUUUUAUUCUUUUAGACAGGAUAUACCAAGGCCAAGAAGGAGGCAGCCAUCAAGGGAUCCAAGUAGAAUCGCUAGCUUUUUUAUAUAUAGACAAUAUUUGUUUAUCAUGAUAGACUUCUGAAAAAUCCAUUGCUACCAAGACAUAAACCUAUUUCCGAAUAAGAGUUUUGUUCCAUUUUCCCUAUUGUUUCUAGUCUUGAACCUCCAUGCUUUUAAAUCAAGAUUUUAACCUUAGCCACUAACCUAUGAUGGCCAGAAAUAUUUUUCAACAGCCUUAAACUUCUCCUCGUGCAAGAAGGAACAUGGAUGAUUACAGUAAUCAAGAGACAUAUUCAACAGCAUGCAUGUUGAGAAUGAUAAGACCUCCCAAAUAGUGAGUUUCCUAUGCUAAACCCAUAAAUUUUUCUUGAAAUUUUCUAAAACAAGAGUUAGGAGACUAAAAAUAUUGUUUUUAUCGUAAACAAUUAUAAUAAUGAAUGGAAAAUUUAAGACGCCAUUAGAUCGGCAUGCUCAAAGGUACGUACUAGUACACCACUGCUUUUAGGAGAUAAUAAGUUCUGUCAGCACCAAGAUAAAAAGAGAAUUCUUAUGGCCCAGAUCAUUAGCUAAGUAAACAUUCUACUCACCAUUUCAUCAUAAAGCAAGAAGAGGAGAGAUAAUAUUGGUUACCAUGGCAUGGAUGCCAACUGGCAUACAGGCUACUUUGAACAGGCCCAAUUAUCAGUAGAAACACUUCAUUAAGCAAAAAACAGGGUAUCAUACUUCCCAUGCUCUGGAAAGCUAAAGUUCAUAGACACUUAAAAAUAAAAGGCUAAAGGAGUCAAUCUGAAGCUUCUUAACAUCCAAUUGCAAACAUUUCCACGCAUUUUUUCUGUCUAAAAGUUCAUGGGCAACUAAAACUCCACCAAAAUGUCAAAUAUCAAUAUCAGUAUCAAUAGUAUAAUUCACUCUUUCUAACCAAUACUAUUAAUAAUUUAAACAUCCAAAAGCCAGCUAAUUCAAAUCAGGCCUCUAAUUUUUUGAUGAAAGGUUACUUUUUUAAUACCAAAUCCAUUGUAAGAUUAAGUUAUAAUAUCAUUCUGCAGUGUGCAAGCAAUUUGAUGCCUACCACUCCUCCAAAAUCCUCACCCCUUCUAUCUACCAAUGUGUUUUUUUUUAUUGCUUAACAUGCAUUUGAGAGUAUUUAGGAUCUUCAACACGAACACUAGAUAAAAAGAAUUUAUUCCAUUGCUUCAUCUUUAGAUUAAAAAAACUGAGUUCAAAACACUGCCAAAUUUUCAAUACAUAAUGUGGUUAAUAUACUUAAAACAGAAAUGCCCAUCCAAGUUUACAUGGUUUUACCCCAAUUAACCUGAUCAAACACAGUGCUGGAAUCAAUUCUGAGAAAAAAAUCCCCAAGUUGAGAAAUAAAAUGAUCAUGUCUACAAGAAUGAGAUGGAGAAGGCUUGUCACACGACCUAGUAAAUGACAAGUUCCAGACCCCCCCCCAAAAUAAUAAUAAUAAUAAUAAUAAUAAUAAUAAUAAUAAUAAAUAAAUAAAUAAGAAAAAAUCAAUCUUUCUUGCAAAGAGAAUAAACAAUGAUACCAUCAUGUACCAAAGCCUAUGAAAACUUAUAUCAACUAUCAAGAAACCAUUAUCUGAUCCCAACAAGGUUUAAAGACCUGGUCCUAAUGAUGUUAUCAGUUGGGGACUGAGUCAAACAUUGUAAGCAGACAUCCGCAUAUUGACAUAUGGUAAAUUGUGGCAUCCCAUUACCAUCCCAAGACCCUUUUCUUCUUCUUUCUUUUUUUAUUUUUCCUUAUUUUGUGAUUGUUUAGGUUUGUUAAGCCUCGUUUUAGGUUUCUCUAGGUCAUAUAUUAAAAUUCAUGACAAAAAACUUGGACAUGGUUUUGCCUUAAUUUGUGAAUGUUAACCAUUUUUAGUGGAGCAAAACAAAGGUGGGAAAAAAGAUACCUAGAUAUAUACAUGAUUUGGGCUUCCAAGGAGCAGGAUCUAAGCUUUCCUAUCAAAAUCUGAGCUCUCUCCUCUUCUUCGACCCUUUCACACUUCCUCUUUCCUCCUCACCAUGUUCAACAUCAGCAGCAAAAACAUAGAAAUGUCAUGAGGCUAAUUGACCAAUUCCCAGCUGGCAUUGGGCAAGAUGGAGCGGUUCCGGUCCUUGUCCUGCUUAGUGCCAGUUAGUACCAAGCCAAACCAGCCAAGAUGCCACUGUUCUACAUGGAUCGGGGUCUUGGACCUGGUCAUCCAAUCUGGGAUGCCCAGUACAAACAAAGACCAGCUAGGUCCUUAAUCCAUGAAUUCCAAUGUAACAGAGAUAUCAAUACUUCUUGUUAGUUUUUCAAAAUAUCCAACUUUUCUUUUACAAAAUAUAUAGCAUGCUGUAGUACUUAAUGAAUAUCAAGCAAAUUAAUGAAACAUCUGCUAGACUACAUGAAGCGUUUAUAAAUUGCAGAUGAUGUGCAAAGAAAUACUUAGAUAGCCUACUUUGACAAGAUUUACAGGUGUGGGUAUAUAAUUUGCAAUUGUUCUUGACAUUCAGGUAAAUACGUACCCAAAAAUGUUUAAGAAGAUCAUCUAUGGCAAUACUUAAAACUAACUAAUUAACAACAAAUUUACAAUAUCAUUUACAACAAAUAUAGUCAUGCUAAGAAGUACUGCAACUAUAUGCCAAGUAUCAAAUUUAUAAUAAGCUGCGAAAGGAAAUAUUAACAGAGAAAGCAGAUGUGAAGUACAACCUGAGGAAGAGCUUUGACGCAGCUGCGAUAUGUAUACAACAAAGAUGCCAUCUCUUUGCCUUCUUGAAUCAGGGUAUUCUGGAUAAUUUUCCAGCAUGAAUCAUUACAUAUAAGUAGCAAAGACACCUUUGAAGCUAAACUACAUGUAACAGUAGAAUAGAAAGUAUAAUUUAAGUUAUUCCAGUGCAGUGAGAGCAAAAGCAUUAAAGGAGAAAUAUAGCGAACGAUAUAUACUUAAUUCUUUCAGAUUGGUUUAGGAAGCAAAUAAAAUAUCAUCUGAAACCAAAUCCAGCACUUCAUGUUGACUUGGGUGCCAAAUGAACAAUAUAGAGCCUGCUGCAGUUAUGCUGUAAGAAACAAUACUGCCUCAGUGUGUGAUGCUAGAAAUAUUCAAAUUACUUUUGACCUAGAAGGGGCAUCACAUCAAACAUCAAAAGAGACCUCCAUUGAAUCUAUCAUGAUGUCACAUAUUAACUAUUUGUGGACUAUGUAUUUGACCCAAAUCAAGGUCCGCCGUACCGGUACUGGUCGGCGUACCGGUGGCCGGCCGGACCGGUACGGUACCAGUCCGGUCCGGUACGUACCGGUCGGUACGCGGUGGUUUCAAAAAUCACAGCGGGCCCGUACCGGCCGGUUCGGAUAAAAAACCGGGAAAUACCCGUUUUUUUGUCGUUCCGGUACCGGUCUAGGACCGGACCGCCCGUACCGGCCGGUUCGGAUAAAAAACCGGGAAAUACCGGUUUUUUUGUCGUUCCGGUACCGGUCUAGGACCGGACCGGUACGGCAUUCCAUGACCCAAAUAAUUCUCCACUGCAAUAUCCUUGGUUAGUUAUAUCAACCCUAUGCUGGAAGUGAAAAGCCUGAUCAGGAACAAAGUCAAACAUCAAAAGUGAUCUCAAUUGAAUCUAUCAUGAUGUCAUAUAUUAACUAUUUGUGACCUAUGUAUUUGACCCGAAUAAUUCUCCACUGAAAUUUCCUUAGUAGUUAUAUCAACCCUAUGCUGGAAGUGAAAAGCCUGAUCAGGAACAAAGUUCAAGACCCGGACAUUAUUUUAAUUUGAUGUGCUGAGCUUCCACUUCAAACAUAUGCUACAUUGAAAGAAAGUACAGUAACCUAAGACUCCAAAUGAGGUUAGCAGAUAGGAUUUGUUGCAGCUUCAUUUCCUUUUCGGGCAACUUCAUAUAGCCAAACAAGGUGAGGGAGGAAAACUUGGUUAUUGUGAUUUGAAUGCAUUGAAGCAUUUCCAUCAGGCUAAUUUCAUACACUCAGGGAAUCAGAAGACUUAGCUUCUCAUAUAAACUUGCUUUCAAUUGUUUGUUUUGCAGAGAAACUUCAAAAUUAAACAAAUUGUUUAGCACAGAGUUUGAAAGUUUGCAUUUCCUGUUCUGCUAAUAAAAGAAACUUCAAUUAUUCUAGAUUGUGGAGGUACAGUCUUUCCUUUAUUUUUCUUCAUGUCACCUGUCACCAGUUCUCAAGCAAACUAACCAGCAUUAUCCAAUCCAUUCACCCCUUUCCAUAGUUACAAUGUUCUGAUAUCAGUUAAAAAAGUCUUCUCUGCAAGCUAUGAGUGAUAUUUAUCCAAAGCAUUCACCCUUUCCAUAGUUAAAAUGUUCUGAUAUCAGUUAAAAAAAGUCUUCUCUGCAAGCUCUGAAUGAUAUUCAUUUUACUUCAGGACUCAAAAGCAACAUCAAUUCCAUGCAGAUUCUUCUUCUAGUUUUUUUUUUGGUAAUAGAUCACUACACACAAGGUCAUCACUGAAAAGCUGAUGUGGAACAAAAGCCCUCUAUCAAGAGAAAGCUACGAUAUGAUAGAUUUAUAUCCAUCAUUUUUGUUCUUGCAAGGCUGUUGCAGUCAGGAGUCCUAAAAAACUAGCAAGCUAACCAUAAAGAGAAACACGAGACAGAAAUAUGCCAUAAAAUGGUCAUGAAAUGGCAACUUUGCUGUCAAAUGGCAAAGACACAAAAGGAAUAGAAAUGAGCUGAUUAGAUCAUUUAGAAUGUUGGUGAUGGUUAUGGAAUGACUAAUGGACAAUCUAUAGAAUUUCAGUUUAGGUGUUCAAAUUUGUCGGACAUACCAUGCCAGUGCCUUACUGGCUUCAUGCCAGCUUUUGACAUGCUAUGCACCAGCACCAGAACGGCAUGCCAUGGCAUAUAUCAGGCCAAUGCCAGGCCAACACACAAGCAGCAUAUGAUCUUCAAACCUUGGUUCAUCUUCUGUUUGGACUGUUGAAAUUUAAAACGCUGUGUGUACGAGUGUUUGUCUAAGUGUAUGUGUCAAAGUAGACAGAAACAUGCACACUUGAAUGCACAAAAACAUGAACCACAUGGACUAGUGCAUAUGAAUUCAUUCAUAUAUCAAAGUAGGCAAAUUGAGAACCUGGAGGAAACUAAGUCAGUUAAUACUGAAAACUCCAGUUUAUCAUAAGGAUGAAACCAAUGUCAAUGCCAAGUUGCCAACCAUGCUAUACAAACUGAAAUGAUAACUUAAAGUGGGAAACAAGGUACAACUGAGAAAGCCAAAGCAAACUUAGCAAGGGGAAGGGAAAUAAAGUAAUUAACUUUUUAAGGUAACAGGAUAGCAAGAUAAAAGCAAAAAUGAGCGAAAAUUGAUGGGGAGUAUCAUUAUGAAAGAUGGGGAAAAAAAUAAAAGAUCAUAGAGAUGCAUUGUACCAAUUGGUUGAUGGCUUUCGUAUCUUCUGCUAAAGAUAGACGGUAAGCAGCAACAUCACCAUACUCUACAUGGUGUGGACAAAAAAUUCUCAGAAACAAGCAAUCAAUUAAGCAUAACAUUAUUAUUCUUAAAACAAAACAUAGAAUAAAACCAUAUUAGUUUUAAAAAAAUCUUAAUAAAGCAUAAUGAAUCUACAGCCCAUAAAUAUUAUGACAUAAGGGCACUAUAAUCAAACAUUUAUUAAUGAAUCAGAGAGCAUCUAUAGAAAAUACUAGAGCAUGUUUAUCAGCAUAAGCAACAUGAACCAAAUAGCAUAAUAUACUUAAUAAAUUAUUAAGAAAAACAUAUAUGCAACAAAUAAUACUACUUAGAUGAAGCAUAUGGCGAGCACAUUAAUCAUCUUCAGUUUUCAGAUUUUGCAUAAGGACAUGAAUGAGACUCAAUUCACUGAGAGAGACAGAAGUACAGGACGUCUGCAGUAAGAUUCCUCAUACCAAAAGUAGGCUGAAAACUUGUUUACAUAUUUAUUACCAUUGCUAUUUCUGAGAAUCUAAGCAAUAAAGUGGAACCCCUUCACAGUUUCUUGAUGAAAAAUCUUAAAUAUUAUAGAAGUUUCAUCUCCACUUUUCAUAAGAUAAAGCCAUGUCCUCUAGGAAAAGUCGACAAUAAGUGUUUAAAAAAAUAUUUACAAAUUACAACCAGCAAGAAAUGGAAUACAAGUGCAAUUGGAUCCUCUCUAUGUGAGGAGGAAGCACUACUCUAUGUUGUUUAGCAAAGAAAAAACACAUAAAGUCCCAGACAUAUCAGGACUAUUGAAAGAGAAAAUACGGAGCAAGGUUUUAAAUACCAUGGGGCAGGGCCAUCCCAAUUUUCCAUGGAACAUGACACCACGCAUACUGACACUCAGAACAAUGGAUGUCCUAUCCCAUCCUAGUCCAUUGCCAGACUGAUCCUGGCCCGAAACUCAAGGAUAGUAUCGUGUGCCAACAGUCGUAGUGGUAGGACACCUUGCAACCCCAUUGAUAUUUAAAACCUUGAUACAAAGUGCAAAAAAGAUAAUGUCUAGGCUAUAAUGUCAUCUAUUUAUGCAUUCUUUAUGACCAAACUAAAGAAAAAUUCCAGCAACAUAAAGAAGAUACAGGCCUUGCUCCUCAUGUCUUUCACCAAUCAUGUUCUUCGUAUGAAAAUCCUAAGUUCAAAACGAGUUGGAUAAUGCCAUAUUGCAAUUUAGUGAAUUAGUUGACUGACUCACAAACAGCAGGUUAUAUGGGAAUUUAAGAACAUAUAGAACAAAGGUAAAGAAGAGGAGGAUGAAACACGGACUUCUCCCCAACCUGGGAUGCAUGAUAAAUUAUCAUCUACUAUGUGACAUGUCAGAAAAAAGGCACCAAGAGGCAGAGAGAGAGAGAGAGAAAAAAGUUCGGAAUACAUGAUGAUGCACAUGGAUCAAUGUUUCAAGAAGAAGAAUGACAUGCAUGAUAUACAAAUAGAGUAUCUAAAGUGGCUACAACAGCCUUGAGAGCAGAUUUCUGAAUAAGAAGCAAUGAGAUCUUUCUUGAAAAUUGAAAUGGAAACCAUAUGACCUAAGGUACAGAACGCCCCAGCAAUGAUCCAUCAUGUGAUCACUCUGCCUGCACUUUAUACACUUAUGCCAUAGUUUGAUUAACUAUUAUAUAUGAUAUUAUUAUGAUGAUGGCUGAAUUAUCUAAUAAAUUUUAUAUAUGUUAUAUGUUACAUAUUAUAGGUUAUAUAUUAUAUGUUAUACGUUAUAUGUUAUAUGUUAUAUGUUAUAUAUUAUAGGUUAUAGGUUACAUGUUAUAUGUUAUAUAUUAUAUGUUAUAGGUUAUAUGUCAUAUGUUAUAUGUUAUAUGUUAUUAUUAUAUGUUAUACAUUAUAUAAUAUAUGUUAUAUAUUAUAUAUUAUAUUAUCAUAUACUUAUCUAAUUAAAUGUAAUGUAUAUUUGUAAGACCAUCAAAGCCAGUCCCAAGCCAAACAAGAAAGGUGGAGGUGAAUGUUAGGUUGACUAUCAGUCAUAAAAAUUAUGUCAAACUAUGAAAAAGAUCCAAAGUCAAUAUGUGUGGAUGCUAGGGUGAAGUUGACCCCAUAUAGUUGGAAAAGAAUUUAUGUUUACAGUUAUUGUUAAUUGAUGAGAGCACAAAAGUGCAAUCAUCGUACCACCUUAANNNNNNNNNNNNNNNNNNNNGAUUUUUAUGCAACUCCAAUCGCCUCCCUGUGGAUCGACCUCUUACAACCGCUAUUCUUCGAGUAGGAAAGGUAAGAGUAAAAUUUAAAUUAACUUUUGUUCGUCGGUUCUAACAACGAUCUGUCUAGCAUAUUUUUAGGUAGACAGGAAAGGACGAACAUUAAUUUUUCAUUUGUUCGAGCAAACCGUGCUUGGUCUAAAUGAAGAGCAGUCCAUAACCCAUGCUGAAACUAUCUGGGCCUUCAAAAAAUUGGGUUCGAGACAGCCACAUUAGUUCAAAAGCAAACUCAAGUAUGGCAUGCUUUAAAUAUGCUCCCCCCCCCCCAAAAGAAAAACAGGCUCCAUUAAUAAAAAAGCAAGAUACAGACAUGUGAAAGCACCCACAUGCCACAAAUGUUAAUCUACCUCACCUCUUGGCUAUUUAUUCCCUUGUCCGUGCAGAUACAAAGCCCACAUAGAAAGGUUCUUUGCUUCUUAGUAAAAUCACAAACAAAGCUUAUGACAACCAGUCCAUCUAGUUCCCAGGGUCCUAUCAAGUCAUCUCCAGACUCUCAAGCUCUGCCUCUUUGCAUCCAACAUAUUUUCAAAAAGGCUUCUAGCCAAUCUCUUCUAAUCUACACCUUCCAAACUUUUAUUACUCAAUAUCAUAGACAUAAUUCCAUAGACACGUCUCCUAAGGAAACAUAGUAACAUACAAAAAGUACCACUACAUCCUGAAUAUUUGUAAGUCUUGUACAAGCCUAAUGUUUCCUUGGUAUCUUCCAUGUCGCCAAAUGUCGCGUUUCUCAUGUAGCGCAAUGUUCAUAAAUAAACAUGUCUGACCCCCCAUUUCUUAUAAUUGAUUGCCUUCUUAUCUCUUUCCAGCUUUUGCUUCCUGUUAUUUCAUUUUGUCUUCAUUCACCCAACGUUCAGGGGAAACCAUCAUGCAAUAUUUUUAAUGUCUAGCCAUGCUGAGGUUUGCAAUUUACAGUUUUUAACAUGUUCAAAAAUGUUGGAAUUUUAAAAUUGCUAAAGGAAUGUAGUAUUGGAAAAAGAUUAUCUUAGUGACGGUUACUUUGAAAUCCAUUUUCUACUUGAUGUGAAGAUUCAUUAGUUGUUAAUUUGUCAACCACUAGAUUCAUUUAUGGAUUUUAAUUUACCGUUGACUUAGAUACAAGUAACCCAGUACUUGAUAUACCAUUGAGUCUAAACUCUAGAUAGUUUAAAUGUCUUUGCACAGAAAGGUAAAUACUAAAAAAUGCAGGAUAAGUUAAUCAUAUAAGCUACCAGCAUGUAGAUCCUUUACUAACAGUUUAACAGAACAGCCAUGCACAUUCAACAAAACAACCACGCAUGUUCAACAGAACAGCCAUUGCAUGACCACACUCAAUAAAUUUAUAUUACUGUAGAAAAUAGAAAUUUAGUUUGUUUGUGUGUGAUAUAUUCCAGCAUUCAUCCAAAAAAUCUCACUCCCAAAACCAUCACCUUGGAAAUCCACAUUCAAAACAAAGGUAUCACAUGCCUAGGUGGAGGGUAUCAUGUGCUAUGCCAAGGAGAUUUUUCAAUUUCUAUGUUCUAAAAGCAUUGCUCGCAUAUUUUUCAUUCAAUAUAAAAAUAUUUGCAAGCUCAUUUUUUUCGGUGACUAUAAUUACAAUCACCAUCCCUUAUUCAAUUACUCUAGUAUUUGGAACCAGCACUGCGAAAUGAAUUCUUGUUGCCACCAACUAUGGGCAAGUAUUUUAAUCUUUUAACAAAAAUAUCAUUGGCUUGAAACAUACUAGACUUGGCAACCUGACUUUUAUGAAUGACAAAAUAGAUAGUGCACUGCCUGCAUAUGUCUUGGAACCUUGCCUCUCACAUAGUAUUUGAGUCCGGAGUUCUAUCAUACUAUUGCAAAAUAGUAUAAAGUACCAAGAAAGAGGGGGAGGACAAUUCUAAAGACAAACUUGACAGUAAUCUAUUAUAUAUCAUUCAGAUAAUACAUACCUAUAGGGCUAUUAGUUGCGUAUCUCUCACUAGACAGCAAAACAGAUAGUCCCUGCACAUCCGGCUGCUCAUCCUGAAAGCUCAGCAGAUUCAUAUAUUAUUCAUAAGGUGAAACAUAAUAUAAAUUUAUAUAGUCAGGGCAAGUGUUCAAGAUAACAAACCCUACUUUAUUUUCUAAAGGCAAAAUAACAUUGAAGCAGGUUUCUAAGUCAACAAUGAUGAGUCAGAGAACCAGCUAGGAAGCUCAGAUGCAUUUUAAAGACAGUUUUCAAACCAAAUGAAAUAUAUGAUGACACAACUGGUCCUCAGCUUGAAAUAUCAGGAAUACGGCAAAACUAACAUACACAUUCCUCCUAUGUAUAAUGCAAAGUCCCUCCUAUAUAUAAUGCUCUCCCCUUUAAUAAUUACACCCUUCUUGAGCACAUCACAAGAGUAUGAGGGAGAGAGAGAGAGAGAAGUAUCUGAAAAAAAAGUUGAUUUUUAAAAGUAAAUGUAAACUAAAUUUGUAUAUUUAUCUGAAAGAAUUUGUAUUGGCCAUGUUUCUAGGAGUCAGAUAAAAAUUGGAAGCUUGAAAUACUUAUCAAAUUCUUUGAUUGCCAGUUUUACAGAAACGUGGAAGGUGGAUUUUCCAACAAUGUGCCCAACACACCAAGCCGUCAAAAUUUGACUAUGUUGGUCUAUUUUUCUCACUGCUCUCUAUUAGGAAAAGCUUUUAGUGAAGCCAAAGGUCCUAUUAGGCUUAAAAAGAUAUUUUACUAUUUUAUUUAGUUUUUUUAGCACUUCUAAGUCUUACAUGAAUUGUGUAAGAGUCAUAAGUCUGUACGAAGCCCUUUAUCUAUAAAUAUCUGUUAACUCUUCUCUUUUACCCACAGAAUUGAGUUUAAUAAAAUUUGGGAGUUUUCUCUACUGCAUCCAUCCUAGAGACCCAUGGUGAAACACUACAAUCUGCAGGAAGAACAUUGCGAGAGGCACGGCAACUUCAAUGAGUUCCAGGGAAGAUUGUGGUGCAAGGCUUGGGCUCUAGUACUAAAGCCUUGGGAAGCCGAAGGUACAAGACCAAAGGUCUGGCAGGAGGAGAAAGUGUGAGGCCUUCUCGUUAUCCACAAAACCUACUAUCCCUUUGCUUAUUUUAUCAUAUUCACUUCUGCAAUCCAUAUUUAUAUGCUCUUCUAUAUAUUUUAUAUUGCUUCCACUUAGUUUCAUAUUUUCCUAUGUGGCUACUCUUAAUAAACAUAGCAAGGAAGAGGUGGAUCUACAACCCUACCCGCAUCAACCAAGCAACUUUAGCAAUCAACCAAAUAGCAUAGUAGUCGAUGACACUCACAAUACGACAAGUAAAAACCAAUGAUAAACACGACCAGGAGGCUAACUUUGCUGUCAACAUUCAACUUCUCGACAUUUAACAAUCCAAUGGGCCUUGCAUAUAUUUUGGAACUCAUCAUAAUUUGUCAAAAUACCUCUUUCUUCAUCACCAUUAGUACACCCAGCAUACUGCAAGUUGCAACUGCCAUCUCCUUUAUUCUUCCAUUUUAGACCCACCUAUUUCUUGAGACCCAAAGAGACACACCAGCAUAGUGUCAAAUCGCUAGUAGACCAAGAAAAUCAUAUUUGAUAAAAAAGAAACGGCAAGUGAGCACUAUUUUUUUUUUCAAUUAAUUGCGUCUUACAUCCAUUUUCCAUCCCCUUGUUUUCUAAAUAGUGCUUGCUUUGUUUGACCUGAAAUCAGCAAUUUUGCAUCAAUAUCCAUGACAAUUUAGAUAAGUUGGUGUGCUCAUGACUUUGAUGCUUCAAUAAACUUAACAUAUCUCAUCUCAAAACUCUAAGUUCUCAUUUAUUUUGUUAAAAAUAUAUACCUUUCCAUCAUCUCAAAAUUUAGUAGUCCUCUUCUAGUGUGCUUAAUUGAUAUUGUUGUUUAUCUAGCAUUUUUUGCCUCAAGAUAAUUAAUAAAAUACUCACUUCAUCCUCUAGUUCUUAAAGUCGGCAUACCAUUUGUCCUAUGUUUAAGCUCCAAAAGUUCUGGUUAAUUCUUUUAUAGGUACCUUGGUUAAAAGCUUGCCUUCAAGAAUGACCUUGUGGUUAUUCAAGAUGUUGCUCCCCUUGGUUACCACUUCCCAUGUUUGGCACAGGACAAGAAUGAGAAUGUCCAACCCCCUAUUUUGGCAUAGCCCAUCUUGGCAUAGUCCUCCUUAAACUCUAGAAAUGUAGUCAAUUCCAACUCUCAAGUCUUAAUUACUAGUAAGUUAAGUAAAAAUAACAGAUAGACCUCAGGAAAAAAAGAAAGUGUUAUAACAUAAACAAAAGUGUAACUCGCUAGGCAAAUCUUUAAUCUAAUUAAGUAGCUCGCAUUGACAAACAAAGAAUGAUUCGAUUCAUGAACUCUAAUAAACCAACCACAUUUUAUUAUGUGCAAGGAAAAGGAAGCAUACAUGGCCGCUCUGGAUGUGCUGCAACGCAAUCCCCUCCUUCUAUCCUUCUCAAAAUUUCCACACUCAUCACUCGACAACACCAACACAUGAUCAAAGAUAUUCAAGGUUACAGGCACAUCCAAGAGAAGUCAAGCCCUACAUACUCAUUACUAUGAAACUACCCAAGAAAGACAUCCACCGCAUCACCAGCCCUUCCAGCAACCAACCCAAAAAGCUCCUUCCAGCAUAUGAGACUAAUCCAGCCAAUUCCCAUUCCAAGCCACUGAUUUCCUGGUCACCCAAGCACUUUUAGACCAAGCAAGCCAACCCUAUCUCCGAAAUAAAAGGACUCAAGAAACUUCAUCAUCCUUCCAAGACCCCAGCAACCAAAAUUCUAAAGAUUUUUUUUUUUGAAAAAAAAAAGCAACUAUCUUUUUUGUGAUUUAAAAGCGAAAAAAACCCUAAUUUCAGCCAAAAAGAAUUCCAUCAUCAUUUCCAAAACCCGCCAACUUCUUGGCCCCUUGAGAAAUAUUGGACCAAGCAAAAACACCCCUUCCUCUGAAAAAAAGGAUUCACGGAACUCCAUCAUCCUUCCAGAACCACCAAUUUAUAAUCCUUUUCAAGAUUUAAAGGCAGAUAAAACCCUACUUUCGAGCUAGAAAACUUCCAGCAUUCCUUCUAAAAGAUCCUGGACUAACUCAGAAAAUUAAACAGCAAUUCGUGCUAUCAAUUCUAGUCCUCGAUCUCCUUCAAACCGAACAAGAAAAGAUCGAGAAAAACAAGAACGGCAUUGGAGAUAGAGAUACUGUAGAGAGAGAAAACAAAAAAUUUCAGAGAAAAGGAGAUCGAAGAAGCGGCAUCGGAUCUUGACAUACCUCCAGUGAGAAGGUCGAGAGAGCGGCAAUGGCUUCUUCGACAGGAAUCGCCAUGGACUUGGCCUCUUCCUGAGAGAGAAACGCCGGCCGACGCUCUCCUAAGCGAACGGAGGAUCCCGCGAUCGGGCCGUAGUGGGAGCGGAAAGAAACCGGGCGCGCUCCCGUUUUUAUUCGAGAGGAGAGGUUUAGUAGCCUUGAAGGAAAAGGGUCAUCAUAUAAGCAGUAAGCUUCUCCGGACGGAUUUUUAUCCGUUGGUAUUUUACCGUUUCACCAAGAACUCGUGUCCGGUGGCUGUCUCCAGUUGUUAUGUAUGUAAGCCAGGGCUCUUUUUUUAUCUUAAUUCGGAGGCUUUCGGGUGUAAUCGUUUCCGGUUUCCUUAGUUACUGUUGGAUUGUAUCUUUUUUUUAUUCCGGUUUGGCUGUAUCUUUAGCCAGUUUACAAAAAAAUUAAAAAGAUUAGGCUAAUGUUGAAGAUAUCCUUAAAAUUAGAUCUAUCAAAUUUUUGAACUGUUCUGUUCAUUUGGUGUCACGUGACCAUCAAAUAGUACUAUAGAAUUAUAUCACAAUCAAACUGCCUAAUCAUCACCCGCUUUGAGAUCUAUGCAGACAGAAUGACAUUUGAAUCAACCCAUCAAUGGUUUCAGAACUUGUUUGUACCUCCGCGGGCCCAAAUAAUUUUACAGAUUUGGGUCGGAUCGGGUCGAAUCAGGACGGGGCAGGUCGUAGGAUUGAAAAUCCAAAAUUAUCCAAAUUUCAAAUGGGUCGAAUCAAUUUGGAUCUGAAUUCAGUAAACCCGCAUCCCAUAUAGCCCCAAAUAAUUUUACAGAUUCGAGUCGGGUCGGAGCGAGGCAAGUCGUAGGAUUAAAAAUCCUAAAUUACCCAAAUUUCAAAUGAGUCGGAUCAAGUCGGAUCUGAAUUCAAUAAACCUAGAUCCAAUCAAAAAAUGGAACGGAUCUAAUUUAAGAAUCUGACCCGACUCCACGGGUUCUCUGAAAUAGGUUGGGUUGGGUCAUGGGUCAAACCCGGCCCAUCUGCAGCCGUAAGACUAACACCAUUUGAUGGUCGAAGAGUUAAGGGACCGCUUUAGAAUAAGGGACCCAAAGCUGUAGAGGUGUUUCUGUAUUUUUUCUAAAAUACCCAAGAGAGAAGGUAUAACCUGUCUCGAGCCCAAUUUCAAAAUACAUAUAACUAACUCUCCACGAACCUUCUCUCGUGACACCAAAAAAUAUGAUUUAUAUAUUAAGAAAUAAUUUUUAUAGUUUUAUCCAAACGGACCAAACCAAUUCAUCUAAUAUGUCAUGUCUGAUUUUAUCACUCUGUUCUGACUCUACCCGCCCAACGACAUCCCAAGACAUUGUACGUGGCAGACGAGGGUAAUCUUUUUUUUUUUCCUGCUGUUAACAUGGGUACUAUCCGAAUCCGAAUAUACCCAACAAAAUUAAAAAUAGGAUAUCACAGAAUCUCCUAAGUAAAUUCUCUCUUCGGAUCUAUAGGUUGCCACCAGAGUGAUUGGCCGUAUAAGCAGCCACCCAGUCUGCAGCACUAUUGGCCUCUCAGAAUACGUGCUUAGCCUGAAAGGUCAUUCCAUCCCUGCUCAUUGAUCAAAUAUUCCGAAGUAGGGGUGGUCCCCACUCCGACCACUCGAACCUUUUUGGAUCCAAUCUAUCACUUUGACUGAGUCACCUUCCACAAUGAUGGAUCUGGCCUGCAAAAUCCGGCGAGCAUAGCGAAUGCCCGCUCAAGCCGCAUGUAGCUCAACUCCAGAAAUCAUGGUAUCCGACAGCUGACAACUGCCAUGCGCCACCAUCCUCGAGCGCGAGUCCCUAAUCACAAAGUCUACGACCCUUUUGUACCCUUCAUUUAGUACUGACCUAUUAAAGUUGACCUUAAAAAAGCUCACGGAUGGGAGCUUUCAUAUGAAGAACACCAUCCGUGGCCCUGGAGGAUAAUGACUUAGCACGCACGCACAUACGCAUACUUAUUUGCCAAUUAGUUGCUGAGCGGCAAAUCAGGACAGCCGCCGUUUACCCAGUUCACAUAGCCGUCAGCAAGUAGCUUGCAGCCUAAUAGCUUUAAAAUUUUAUUUUUAAAAAGCAUAUUUAGUUUAUUUCUUCCUUUCUUUUCCUUUUUCCUUUUUUCUAUUUUUUUUAAUUGCAGUAUGGGGUUAGCCCAAGCCAGCUUCUGACUACCGAAAGAUGUUGGGUGGUCUCCACAGCUAGUGGUAGCAGUGCGGACUAAAGGCUAUGCAUUGCCACACACCAAAAAAUAAAAAUUAAAAGAAAGGGGAAGAUAGGUAGCAAUUUCUGCUGGCUUCUGCAAGAAGUUGGGGACUGUGUGAUGGUUUGUAAGUAUUCUUCUGCAUAGUUGUGGGGUGUGGAGACUGCCUUGUGCGAAUUUGCUGCUGCUGCUUCUGCUUCUGAUAUCCUUAUUCAGAACAGAUAGUUGGACUCAUUUGAACUUCCUAAGAAUGAUUCAAUAAUUAAAAACUAUGCCAUUAAUAUUGCUGAUUUCUCUUCCUUGGUUGUGGUAGCACUAAAGGUCAGUUUUAACCAAGAAUCGCUGGAUUGGUACCAGUAGGCAUACCAAUUGGCUACCGGACCAGUUCAAACCGGAUCGAAGCAUCCAACAAUCUAAAAUGGGCCUAUAUAGACCGGUACGGAGGCCGGCACGACAUUCUUUGGUUCUAACUGGCCAGCAUCUAAAUGCUUGGGACCUUUAAAAUUUCAGUAAUUGGCAACUAGUAAAGAUUCCUUGCCUCUACCAUUCAUCCAAAGAAUCAUCAGUGUUGGGGAUGAUCCGCAGUUGCUAAAACUUCGAGUGAAGCAGAUGUAAAAGCUUCCCAAUGGUGUUUGGGCCACUCCUUAAACGAUCCAGGGCUGCCAUUUGGAGUCUGAGUGGCUCUAUCAUGCUCCAAGGCUGGUCUUGGAUGCUCUAGUCUCACCUAGACCAGAAAAAGCGACAUUGGUUUUAUUCUUCUUCACGAUCAUGUUGCACUUGGCCUAUUACUUUUCUGAGGACUCCAAGAGCCAUCAAUACCCCAUGCUUUGGGCAUGACAAGUAGAUGUAGUUCAGGCCAUGGACUAUUCUAUUACCCUGAGGGACACAGUAAGCAGAGCUCUCGAAGAAGUUUCAAAGAAAUGCCUAUGAAACAAAAUUGAAUACAGAGCAAAGUUAAGCUACUCAUUGCAUUAUAUUAGCAAAAAAAGCCAGAAAAUACAUGAUAAUGACUGAACUCGAAUAAAUGACGCUUCACUAGAAAGAAAAAAGAAAUAUAAUAUCACUUUAAUAUUGGAUUAACUUUGAAUUCAGAUUAACUUGUGGUAGCAACAACAAUCUCGAAGACUCGUUGCAAUGUGAAAUCAUCGAGAGCGAGAGAGAUUACAUAGACGAUCCCUUUCGGUUGUUUUUCGGCUUGCUAACCUUAUCUGUGUCAAGGUUAUCGAUGCGAGCACGUCUUGUAAGAUUCGAUUCGAUUCCAAGGCUCAGGUAUGGAUAUCAGUCUCACAAGGUUGUGUAUAUAAUUAAUAAACCUCUAGUGCAUCUCCUUGGCUAGUGCAAAAACUAAUGAGCAAACUUGGUACCAACUAAAAGACAGAAGAAACAAAAUCCAAUUGGUUGCCUUUUGCUUAUUGUUUUACGUAGUUGGCGCACUUCCAAGAAUAAAACUCAUUGGCUAAAUGAAAGUUUGGUACCCCCACCGACAGGCCAGAUCACAUACAGCUCAUGUGAUGGCUAUUUGAGAUGCCAGGCGAAUGCUGUAAAACAGAAGCAACCAACCACACACCUUGACCGGACACCAAACAAAACAAAUAAACUAGGACCACAAUGAUGCCAACCCCACAAAAUUUAUUUAUCUCAGAGACCGACCAACUCCCAGAGUCAAUUCAAUAAUUCUGUAAACCAACUUCUCCUCAAAAGGAAAUAAAAUUCACAAAUUCUUCUACCAACUAAAGCUGUAUUUCCGAGAAUGUCGGAAAGUGUUUCAAGGUCCUCUUAUCCUUCCUUCCUGCAGCCUGUCAGUUUAACAAACAGAUCCUCCUAAUCUCAUUAACAAAUGUUAUAAGAGUCUGACAGGAUUAUAAAAUGGUAGGGAGAUGACUAUAAUUUAAUGUUUUGCACCUUGACAGGUAUUCUAGACUGUUGUAUUUCUCCAAGAAGGAAAAACCAGGGGGCCCUUUCUUUUACCUUGCCCAGAAAGAGACACUUCUCAGAGCCUGUCACUACGACCACCCACAGCUCCAGGCCUCCUCGGCAUUUAAUCUAUUUAACACACUGAUAAGGUCACAGCUGAUAUAAGAUAUUUAACAUAUCCUCCAACAACAAGGCAUUAUUGGCCCACCAUUAUCCGGAGACACCUUUAUAUUGCAUGGUUGGUGAUAAUGAUGUCUUCUACUGUAAUUGUCAAGGCAUAAACAUCGCAAGUAAAUAAUAUAAGAAACAUAAGAUUAGAUUUGUAGACGCAAGAAAUGAACAAGGUGAAAGAAUUAGCAUUUGCCAACGGUUCUAUGAGCAAUCAUCAAAUAUCAGAGGAUAGAGAAUACACAAAGAUUAUCACUUGUCGGAAUGUAGAUAUUAAACAAUGCAAUGGCCAUCAUUACCACAGUGAAAACAACGGCAUUAAUUAGCAGAGGCCAAAAGAAAAGGGGAAAAAAAGAGUAAAACAUAAGAAAUGAACGAGACCUCAUUACAAACAUGUACCAGCAAAGUCUACCAAAGCGUCUCUGACCAAAUCCUCCAAAACCUCUCCACCAAUCUCGAUACUAAUCUCAUCUAUUUCUGACCUCAAUGACUCAGCCCAUCCUCUUCCUUCUACCUCCCUCCUCAAAACUCUGUCCAUCAAAAGAUUGCUGUUGUCAGCCUCGCAUGUCACAUGCUUCCCCUCACCUGAAAACCAAUUCCUAAGAAGACCCCAUACCUCCACCGCAAAUGGAGUACCAGGUGAAGUAUUCUUCUGGGCAUGAUGGUAAGCACCCUUCCAUGGGUAGGCACUUAGUAAGGUAGUCCGACCAAUUUCUAACAGUGCUGCAUUGACACAGUCAAACAAAAGCCUCUGAUUUGAUCUCCUCUCCCUCGACUUAGCCUCUUCCUCCUUCCGAUCCAAGAACUUGUCGAGCAAUAUUGGAUCCAAGGGGCUGUCCACCGAAUGCCAACUGGCAAAUACCAUGUCAGACUUCUCACUAUUCAAGCCAGCAGAUGACAACAACUUCUGGACAAGCAUAAAUCGUUCUUGUUCUUCAUUGUCUGCCUUGGACAAAGCCCUAUUCAGUUUUGAGGGAUCUGUUGUCAAUGUUUCCUGGCGGGUGUCAUCCCAUGCUAAUGAACGGGCAACUGACUCAAAUGGUGAAGACCUAGACAGUGCUUCUGAAGGAAGAUGAUGCAGGAUCCCAUUAGCAUAUGAAAAGAAAAGAUUUGCAGAUAAGUUUAAGCCUGAAACUUACGCUGUUGUCCAGCAUUGGCACUUUCAGAUGACUGGACCACAUUAUCGUUGGCAUCAUCUUCAAAAGGAGCAUCUAGAACUGAAGUGGGACUGGGCUGAUCACAGUUAGUACCUGAAUUUUUGGAGGACCUAAACUUUUCCUGGUUCUGACUCAAAUUACCAGAUGUCCUGGGUUCCUCAAGAGAAAGAGUAGCCUGUCAGGAACGAAAAUGUUCUUUGUAAGAAACAAAUUGGAGGAAAAGAAUCAGUGUAAUUUGCAGAAAGCACAUACACGACUAAGUCUAACAUGCAUUGAUUAUUUAUUGAGCAGCAUAAACAGAAGAGAGGCAUAGAUAAAGAAGAUAUUCCUUUCAUAUUUUUGUGAUUUUAUUAACAAAAAUUAACAAAAAGAAAUCAAAUCACAACAGUUCAAAGAACCCUACAAGAAGGAAGAGCAAAGAUUCGGAAUAGCAAGAAAACAAGGAAUAGAGCAACAACAAACAAUUUAAAAUUACUAUUUUGCAUAGCAAUAUACAACUCAUUGGAGGUAAGAAAGCGUGUUAUUCACGUAAACCAAGAUAAAGUGGACAAGAUAUAACGCACAGAUGGCAAACCUGACAAGAGAAAUAGCCUUGUCUAGAUCCAUCACUAGGCAAAGUUGGCGGGGCAGUGCAGGCAGAUUCUUCCUCUAAAUUUACUGGUGGACUUUCCAUGAGUAAACUAUUGUGAACUGAUUUUGAUAAAUCAUCAUUUUUAUCAACAAUUGUCUCAACACUGCCAGAAUGACAUCUAUCAUCAGAGCCCACCAAGGGAGAAGGAAUAGGUUUCUCUCUGCGCUUAGGGAAGAAAAAACUUGAAACUUUUCCUCUGAAAGAUGAUUUCUCAUUCUUAGACUUUGCAACCUCCUUUGUAGCAAUAGGUUUGUUAAUUUCGGAGUUGGAAGCUUCAAAGCUCAACCCAAUAUUUUCCAAAACUGAAGACAAGACUGGGACAGAUUUCGACCUUGAUAAAGUCAGGGGGGGACACUGACCAUCUCCAAUAUUUGUCCUACCAAUGGAUGAGCAGGCUGCUGGUGCCCUCAAUUCAUCGUCUCCUCCAAACAACUUGCUGCUUGAAGAAGUAAGCCCUCCAACACCACCCUCUUCUUUCUUCACCCCAGGAAUGGCAAGCAUCUCGCCCAAAGUGCUCGAGCUCCUAGGCAUUUGCAUUUGUUCUUGACCUGUCCCAUUAGAUGCCACCAAAGCCAACCUCUCUGAAAGCCGUUUCUUGGCUUCCCUAAUCACUGAAGACUCAGGUGAACAUGAUGCCCGGCCAAAAGAUGAGACUGAGAAAGGACUGCCAAAUCUGUUAACAUAAUCCCAUGAAUGUUGUGAAGUUGGAGUCACAAUCUCCAAGUCACUAUUGCUACCAUCCUCAUCUCCCAUGUAGUCAUUUUCUGACUUACAGAAUGAGCUCUCAUCUCCACCAUAUCCAUUUGAAUACAGUGAAGAUAACAAAGAAUCAUCCCUCCGGUGGCAACUCAGACUCUCCCGCAUCUGCUGAGUGGUUCCCUUGGCUACUUCUCUCGGAUCUAUGGCUUCAUUAUCUUCCAAACUUUCAUAAACAUCACUUUGUUGCGGUGGUUCAGGUGACAUGAUACGGGAGUUCACCUUCGUCUUCAUGUCAUGGGGCUUCCCAGGGCUAGGCUUUAAGACUACUAUUCUUGUUGGCUGAGACAUGCUUUCAGCCUCUGAAUUGGUGAACCUUUUGCUCCAAUAAGGCUUGUUUGUCUCCCAUCCACCCUCAUCAACUCUUGGAUAUUGCUGUUUUUUCACCAGUUUUUCACCUUGUGUCUCAACUGUUUUUGAUGGCUUUAAUACAGUAAUGCAUUGUGUCUGAGGUGCUGGAGGAACCAUAUAGAGCUCUCUUAUUUGCUUUGAGAAGAGGGAAUUUGGUUCUUCAAGAAAUUUGAUGAAUAAAUCUUUGUUUGAACUCAGAACCUCAAGAGCAUCUUGAAACUCCUUGGACUGAAGGAGCCUUUCAUCUGUAGCUAGACGUUUGGCUUCCAUAAAUUUCUGACGAACGAGAGCCAUUCGUUUCUCAUUCUGGUCUUUGUUGUAUCUUCCCUUCUGUAGAGGUUGAUCCUUGAUGCGGUUGGUUCUUGAUGGUUGUUGCCAGACUUCAAAUACGUCCCUAUAUUCCAUCUUCUCAUGGGCAUUCUCACAUGGCAUUGGCUUGUUAAAAUAGACAUCUUCCUGCUGCUUGUGACCCUGAAAUGGUCCUGUUAAAGUAGUCCUUGAAUAGCCCUCUUGUGUGUUCCUUUUGUUUGCAACUAACACAGGUUUCGUGGCUGGCAGAUCAUCAUCAAGACCCAUUAAUCUAGCAACGACACUAGGUGGCUUCCGAUUCAACUCUGUUUGUUUUGACAUCUCCUGAGCUAUCAGCAUUUUCACCAGUGUUCCGCCUGACUUCUUGAUUGAAGAACUCUUCCUCAAAUCACUAGCAAUCUGCACUGAAGUCUAAAUCAGAACACAGAAAAAAACUCCAUUAGAUAUGGAUUAUGUUUCACCUCAAGCAACACUGUCAAGGUUGCUUACUUGUUUGCCAUCAACAUAAAGUCCAGCUGGAUGCAAGGCUUUCUUAACAUCAGGCUGGUUUCUGUGAACUGGAGAGCCUGUUCAAUGGUUUAUCCACAUUAACAACACCACGAAUAUGCUCAAGAAUCAAUUAGCAACUUGGAUUGGUAUUCUGAACCCCUCCCACCCCCCACAAAACAACAAAAAAGGUAAACUUCAUGUAUAAUGAUGGAAAAAGCAAUAAAUUAAAAUAAAAGGCAAAAAUCAUCUUUUCUACAAAAACAUAUUUUUGCAAAGAAACUGAGUUUAGUCCAGAAAAAAUAUACUGAUUUAUCAGCUUAAGUACGAAGAUACAAUUAAAUUGUCCAAAUUAACAAAAAAAGGGCAAACUGUAAAAUCGAAACAGCUUCUGAAAAGCCCAUAAAUCUGAAAGCAAAAGAAAAAAAAGGACCAGACUGACCAUCUACAAGCAGCAAUUUUGAGCGCAGAGUUGCAUAAGCGAACUGAGAAUAUCAAGAAAAAAACAGCAAUCUACGAGGAUAACAAGGAAGAAAGGGCUUCAAUAAAAAUAUUUCAAUAACUUCAACUACCACAGAUUCAAACACAACACUUUACAGGAAAAUUAUGUGAAAUUAACAACAUCAUGAAGAGGAGUCUUAAAUACCAUCUCUAUGAGCUUUAUCAGUUAGAAGCUUGGUCCCAGCCAUGCCCGUACUUGACAAGUCAAAUAUGUUAAUCAUCCUUCCCAUACAACUCGGGAAGGGUUUCUGCAGGUCCUGCACCUUCCUCUGCUGAAAUCCACUCAUCACAGCACCUGUAGAUUGAAAUGGAGACAGAAGAGAAGCCCAUUAGAGAAAGUUCUUCACCAUCAAUCCAAUCUCAGAACUAAGUAAUCUAAAAUCACCUACCAAAGCUAUCAAGCAGAACAUUUCAGAUGAAUGAGAUAGAUAGCUCCCCCUCAAGCCUCAAGUUACAAGAAUAAUAAGCUAAAAUUAGGAAUUACAGAAUUAUGCAAGAUAAUAAAUGCAAAGUUCGAACAUUUAUAGCCAAAGAUUCUGUCUUUAAACCGUGAGAGAGAAAAGAUUACUAUAGAAAAGUAGGAGUUUUUUUGGAUUACAGUCACGAAACAGAGCAUUACAAGACCCACAUUGACGCUCUAAUCUCAUCCCUGUGCAAUUUAGACUUCUAUAAAGAUGCUGCUUCCAGCUUUUCUUUUUACCAAAAUUGGGCAUAAAUACUACUAAUUAUUGAUAAAUUUUCGUAAUAAGAACCCCUAAAAAAAGAUCCUAUGAGACAGUCUCAUGCUCAAAAAAUGGCAAGAAAUAGCACGUGAACCCUAGAUUCGAUGAGUACUGGGAAGACGCGAGAAAGUGAAUGAGAAAGAGGAAAAAAGAAUGACCGAGAAUUCAAAAAGACGGAGAUACGAAAAGGAAGAAAAGCGACAUAUCGAAUUUGCAAAAGCCCUUUUUUUAUAAAAAAAAAUAAACCACGAUCCAAGAAAAUGACGUACUCUCUCUGAAGGAAUCUAACUGUAAAAAGGCUGCAUUUUUCUCGGAAAGAUAAGGAAAUCAGAGAAAUUAAAAAGCGCAAACUAUUUACGAAAUCGCUACCAGCCCACCUCUCCAACCCCAAAUCGAAUGCGAAAUUUCAAAGAUCCACACAAAAGACACAAGAUUCCAACCCAAAGCCUACAAUUUACCACACCCCCCUCUGAAGCAGAAAAAGACUACAGCGAGGCAGAAACUGUAGCGGACUUCACCGGAACCCUAGAUUCGGGCACAAAAAAAAAACCUAACUCCAAACCCCAACUCCACAAUGCCGCAUUCCAUCAGAGAACGCGAUCGGGCGAGCUUCGGGAGCCGAGAUCGGAAGCCAGACCGGAAGAAGAAGGACGAAAAAAACGACUGAUACGCGACAUUACAAAUCUAAGCCAUUUUUAAGGAGAUAACCCAAUAAGCUUUCAUCGAUCCCCCAACCUCACCUUCUUUAAUCCCCCAAAAUAGCUCCUCCGCCGCUUCCUCCAUCACCACCGGACCAAGUCAUCUCCGGUCAAUUCUCCGGCGCCCGGAAACCUCACAGCCAGUGGCUCAGCCGCCGCGCUCUCCGUCAAUUUUUAUCUGUUUCGGUCCAUAUACCGGCUUUAAUGGUGGAACGGAUAAACUCACGGCAAUUAUUGCGCAAGUGCACGCUUUUCUCCAGCGGGACUGGACCUAUCCCAGCGCCCACCGAAAAGAAGGACGGUAUUUAUUUAUUAGUAUACGCGGUAUAAAAUAAUAUUAUUUAUAAAUGGAACUGAAUUAAUUAAUACGGAGAUGCUGAACCUGAGGGUGUCGGUGAUGGGGUGCAGAUUUCGGUGCAUUUUAUAAAUUGUAUUGGUCUAAUAAAUGAAUGCAGAUCGUUUUUUUUGUUGAGAGAAGCACCAGUCUGUGGGUCCCUGACUGUGGCUGUCUCUUUCUUAAAAAAAAACUAUGCUGGGGCCCGCUUGUCCAACUCACACUCUGGAUAUACUUCAACGAAAAAAAAAAAUCUUCGCAUCAAUGGGCUGAGAGAAAGACAAAAGUACGCCUGGAGCAAUAUCCUGUCAGCUAGGUGAAAAGCUGCCCGUGACACUCCAAAUUAUUUUAUUUUUUAAUUUAUUAAAUAUAUUCGUACUUUUCAAAUAUGAUUCACUUAUUUUAGUAAAAAAAAUACAUGAAUUACAGAAUUGGAAAGCGAGUUUUACCUAAAUAUUUUUAGAAAAGAAUUAUUGGCAGGAAACUCUUCCUCCUCCAUUCAAAGAGUAUUUUUAAAAUAAUUAGUCAUGUACGAUGCCAUCUAAUAUACAACCUCGUCGGCCUUUCUGUACAUAUGCUUCGCCUAAAAGACCAAUCUGUUACCGGCCACUUAUGAGUUGCUAUUGGGUCACCAAAAAAAAAUGCUAAGCAUUAGUGGGUGGUGACAUUGGAAUGCCAUCUUUUUAGGUACGUGAAUAAUAACUUUUACCUAAAUACAAUUAGCAUUCCUGUUUGCUUCCCAAAUAUGUUUAAUUUAAUUUUGGUUGUAAAUGCCUGCCAGCUAGUGCAACGCAUUUCCUUGAGGAUGAAGCAAGGAAAGGCUGAAGAAAUACCCUUUUUGAGGACUCAAUAGCCACAUCUGUUUAGAGGUAUUUAUAGUUUUAUACCUGGUUGCCCCAGAAAAAUAGCUGUUCCCUGUGCUAUAUUUCCUGUUUGUAUAUAUAUCAUAUUAUACAUCUUAUGCACUGAAUGGAGAGUCAGAGAAUAUUUGUAUUUAUAUUCUUAAAUAAGUUUCAAGGGGUUUGGGAGUUUUCUCUUUUCUUUCUCUUUUUUUGUAUUUUCAAUCUUUAUGUCAAACUACCAGAAGAUGUGGAUAGUAAUUUUUCCUGGCAUCAUGAGUUUUUGAAAGCUUUUGCUCUAUGAAUUUUCUAUAUAUAAAACAUUUUGUCCUAAUUGAAUUCAGUCACAUGUAGAAUUUUUAUAAAACUAUAGUAUAAUUUCUCUUAUAUUGCAUGAGCUUUUUAAUUGGUAAUUAUUUAAUUUACACAUGCAGGGAAUAAAAGGAAAAAAAUAGAAGACUAACAUAUGGACAGGUGGAGUUGUCUUUUUUCUGAUACUAAUGGCGGUAUUCAUGCACUUAUGGUAUGAGGAGCCAGUGUAAAAAAAAAAAAAAAGAAGGGUGCGUCCUUAGCGGUCAAGCUCAAAUUUCAUAAUUUAGAUCUUGAAACGAUUUUGUCAAAUUAAAAAUUUUCUUUUCAAAAAAUAUUUUGAUCGGACAUAUUUCAUAAUUCGAAAAGAAUUAAGCAGAACAACAGAAGAUAAAAUUAAUGCAAAAGUUGAAAUCUAUCUCAUGUAGAACUUUAGUUUUUUCGUGUUUAUUUCUAGCAGUCAUUUCUAUUUUAGAAAAGUAAAUUAUAUUAGAACAGAAGAAGAAUUCGAUCCGAACUAUGCAAAGGUAGAUCUUACCAUUGUAAAUAGAGGCUAUCUAUCUUAGUUUUAUGAUCAUUAAUAAAAAAGAUGUAAAUCCUAUUUUUAUAAUUUUUUAUUUUUUAUUUUUUUGAAAGUUUUGAGUUGAGUAGGUUGAAAUUGUUUUUUCUUUUCUAUCAUAUCAAUAAUUACUGCUUUUUUUAAAAAGAAAUAAAUUUACUAUAGUAUCAAAAGCAUUUUCUUAUUUAAAUUUUUGAAGUCCGCAUCUUACAAUAAAUAUGCUCUUGCAGAAAUGGGUUCAGGAACACAUAGGAAGAUAUUGAACUUCUACACUUCAUUAUUAUAUCUUAUUAUAAGAAAUAUAAUAUUAUUUUUAUGUCUCACAUCAAAAUAAAUAAUAAAUACUAUGAAUUAUGUUAGUUUAUUAUCAUAUUAACUAAUAAUAACCUAGGCGGCCUCCUAAUCUACGUUAACAAAAUUUAAAAGAGGUCAUAACCACAAAAUAGAUAUGAGCAGAAAUGACUUACAACAGAUCUUUUUCCCUUGCAUCUCUUAUAUAUCAACAUUUAAUUAUUUUUAUUUUACUUUCACAUAUAAAUUAAAAUUCUGCUCUUUCCGCAUGGGAAGCAAAAGUUGACGCCUCGUUUCCCUUGGCAAGUACGCACGUAGCUUCUUACGGCCGCCUGCACUAUUAAUUACAGACAAUUUAGUAAAAAAACUGUGUUUUGUUCCAUGCAAGAAGGUAAGGCUCAUUUCAUGCAGCAGAUGGGCAGGAAUUGAAAUCUAAACUAGUGGUUAUUACAAAUCGAUCAUUUUAACAUUUAAUUAUGAAAAUAUUUAUUAAGAUCGUAACUAUUAUAUCAGAUGAUAUCUUGAGAUAUUCUAAGUUUCACCAAUUGAGAUUGUAAGAGUAUAGUUUUGUUUACGCCGUCCAAAUCCCGGCAAAUGGAAUAUAAUCAAAUGUGAGAUAUGGGUUCACAUCCGUCGCGUGUGAGCUACUGUUGUAAAGUUAAUAAUAAUAAUAAUAAUAAUAAUAAUAAUAAUAAUAAAAAUAAAGCGAGAUAUGGCGUGGUAGGUUUUGCUUGAGAUUUGGUUAUAAUAGCCUAACCCAUAGUUGGUCCGAUCUGAGCUGGGCCAUUGCCAUCUUCUCCAUUGUAAAGUGGAACAACCAGGGUCCAUUGCAGGAACCUACUUUGAUAUCAGCGCAUGUUAGAUCCUGUCGGCAAGGGAUGCAAGAUGACAGAAAGGGAAACCGGCAAGUAUUAGGUUGCACCACAAGUGCAAUGCCAGUUUCAAAAUUUUAAAAUAGAUGGGCCGUCUUAUGAGCAAGGCCACAUGAACCCCUCAGUAAUUUGGAUUGGAAGUUUCCUCGGGCCAGAUAUGGACUUGGUUGGUACUCUAAAAUAUUAUAAAUCUCUUUUAUGUAAUUUUAGUACUUUAUAUUUAAUGUUUAAUUAAUGGUUUACUGUACCCACUGAAUAAAUAGAUGAGUUUUUUUUUGGCAUGAAUACUCUUCUAAAAACUCAAAUUUGUAUGAAUAACCUCUUCAUAUUUAUAUUUAUUUCUGUACCUUAAUAAAAUAAGGUUUUUGUACAAAUGCUCCUAAUAUAACAAUUAUAUUUUUUAGUUAAAAAUAAAAUAAAAUUUUAAAAUUACUUUUUUGUCCUCUAUCGCAAUUGCCUUAUCAAUAUUUCUUAUUGUACAUCUACCCAUUAAGAAUAUUUUAAUCAUUUUAAUUUGAAACCGUUAAUUUUUUUAAUGGCGUUAGAUGACAUGGUACGUAUGCAAAAAUAAGGAUAAAAAAGGGCAGAAUAGUAAAACAAGUGUUUUAUGAGGAUAUACAUGUAAAUAUCAAUUUUGGAAGAGUAUUCGUAAAAAAAUUGAUAUUCAGGAGGGUACUCAUAUAAAAAGCCCUAAAUAAAUUAAGUUUGAUGUUACUCGGUUCAAGGUAUGCUAUGAAAGGCAUUUUCUUUGGAGUAGAAUUUGCCCUAGCCAGGUGCCAAUAGUUUAAAACCCUAAACCCGAAACCCUAAAUCCUAAAAACCCUAAGACCUCUUUAGAGUGGGUCGGCUUGAAUCUUUAGCCUAGUCCGUAGUUCUAUGAUUUUGCUAGUUGCAAUGGCUCAAAUCACGAAUGUCUUGGGACUGCUGAGUAUUUAUAAAUAUAAUUCUAGCCCAGUCUAUAAUCCUAUAAUUUUGCUGGUUGUACUUGCUCAACCCCCGGAUCUCAUAAGAUUUUCAACCCAACCAUCCGAACAGGCCUAAGUGUAAAUGUAAAACCGAAGGAAGUUGUUGGAAAAUAUGUUACUCUUUCUUCAAGACUUUUUCUCAUUCACACCUGCUUUCUAGUGAACUCAUGUCUCCUGUCACCGGAAAGUUCAGAAGCAUCGCGAACAAUAGUUGUUAGUGAAAGUGCGCUUUUAUACCAAAAAGAAAAACAGAGAUACUCUUUGAUACACCAGACGUUUAAGAGCUGCAAUCUUGCCAUCGCGUGCCAUUGAAGCGAUUGGAUAAUUAGAAGGAUCCCACCAACCGUCCAAGCCAUACUGCGUCAGCUUAUCCCCAUGUGCACAAGCUCUCGACUAACCUAAUCCUCUCUCUCUCUCUGUCCGCCCCAAAUUUGGAAAACCAGGCUGAGAUCUGGUUUGGAAGGGGAAGGGGAAUUCGUCUGCCAAAUUCCAAUCUUUCCCUCGCAGGUUCUUGGACGUCUCUGGUUUUGCGCUUUUGGUGGAAUGUUUUAAGGGCCAGAAAUCUUGCGAAUGGGUCAGAACACAACGCUGCAAUUAGUUGACAAUGCUAUCGGCUGGCUUUGCCUCCUUUGCUACAUGGGACAAGAAAGUUCUAAACAGGGCCUCAGCUUGACACUGAAAAGCAGAUUAAUCCUGAUGUCCAAGUAGUCCGUUGCUAUAUGGAUCCUACUCAGUUUCUUCUGUUAGGGCAUAUAAUUCUCUUCACACCUUUAUGCAUCCUUGAUUUCUUUGUCGAUCAUCAUAACAUAUCAGAAGCAUUCUUCAUUGAAAUGAAAUCAGCUACAGGUUCUCUGUAAAUCAUCUUCAAAAAAAAUCAUUGUAAAAGACUUGUUUUAGCAGUUAUUAAAGCCUUCUUUCAUUUAAAAGGAAACCAUUGGCUCAUCAAUCCAAAAGCCUCAGAUAAAUCAUUGGCUCGUUAACCAUGCAGAGUUUGUGAAAGGUGCUGUGUGCACACAAUUUGCUGGCCUGGAUGACAGACCAUGGACUCUAAACCCAGCCGCCCACUGGGCAUGUAUAAGAGCUAAUUUCGGUAGAGAUUCUGAAUAUAGCAUCAGUUAGAAUCACUCCCUACGGUUGCCAAGAGGCACGAUCUCUGCAAAGGCAAAAUGCCCCCAUAACAUUUUUGCCAAGAGGAACUGUUUCUGGGCCAUGUUCAAUGGAAAAAGGAAAAAAAAAAAUUGUGGUCAUCCCAAUUUUGAUAUUCAACUUGCACCAUCUGCUCCUAUGAGUAUCAAAUCAUGAGCUAUCAUAACAUUUUGGUUUGCUUCCCAGUUUCUUCAUAUUUUUUUUUGGAUUUAAACCAUGGUCUUUUUACUGAUUGACAUAAGCUAAUACUAGAAUUAUACUGAAAAUUACACUGAUAAAACAUCUGUAUCCUCCAUAUAUUACAAAGAGACAAUGUAUGGCAUUGUUAUCUACAAAACUUUGAGCCAACACCCCGAGCUACAAAAUUGGUGGAAACAUCUUAAUUAAUGAAGCAGACAAUUUGCUUCUUCGAAAUCAAAAAAGAAAAAAAAAAGAUAAUGGAAGAAAAAAUUCUGGAUACCUUGUUAGCUGCCAAGAUGGCGACCGCAGCAUAGGGUGCAUCCCCUGGCCACACAUUGUUUCAUUGGUGCAACUUAACAGGUUCCUUGGGGAGUCUAGAUGUGCCGAAAUUACGAUGCUUACCGUCAGCUUUGUUGACGAGCCUGAAGCCUCGAAGGGGAAGUUCGUUGAUGAGAAGAGUCUCAAGCUGACUUGCAAUGCUCUUUCCUGGUACUACAACAUAUAGGAACUCCGCAUUUUGCAUGCCUUCCUUGGAACGAUGAGCACGAACGCGGCCCACUAGGUCAUCCGUCUGCAUCAAAGUUCAAGCCCUUUAGACAAUGAGAAAAACAAAAUGUAAAUUAAGCACGAGACGGGAACGUAACCUGUCCAACAUAUAAUUUCUUGUCAGGUCUGAAGAGUACAUAGAUGCUGGAAGUGCCCACAGUUGAGGGAGGAGGCUGCUCCCUAGCACCUACUACAACACACAUCACCUCUGCAAGCUCAGAUAUGCUCUUCUUCUUGUAAAGCUCUAACAACUUCUUCUGGCAGAUUAUGGUAACAGCACUCUCGACUUCCUUCUGUAAUAGUUCCAAGCUGCCAAAAGGAAGAAAAUCUAAACUAGUCCUCGAAGAAUCACUGAUUUCACCAAGACCACUUGCAUAGAACUUUGCAUUGAAAUGCUCAGCUUUUGUAGAAUUUGGAGAAAUGUGUACAUCAGUUACAUUCAUUGAAAGGUAUAGCUCUUCAGCUCUUUGGAUGAUUUUUUCAGGAAUGCCUUCCUUCUGGGCAGUUUCAAAGGCAAGACUCUCUCUACAGACUCCAUCUAUCAACUUCCAUGUUGGUCUUAUGCGGCCAUCUGCAACCUCUGUUCCCAUUGCUUUGUGGACAGUAUUUUUUGUGGCUAAAGGCAAGUCGAAAAUGCCAUGCAAAUGGGUUGAUACAAUGCCCAGGCAGCCAGUGCAAUCAAGCAUCUCAACAAAGCUACCAGCAAUACAGGUUCCUUUUGCAGUUUCUGUGCCUCUACAGAUUUCAUCCACAAGAACUAAGCUCCUUCGGGUAGCUCUAGUGAUUACGGAGCGCAUUUCCGACAUCUCAAUCUGGCAUAUUGUAAUAUGAUUAAAAGGACGUCAGAAGAUCUUUGGAUACCCUAUUAAUUUCAGGAUAGCUCAAAAACUGCACCAUGACGACAAUGGCCAUGCAAGACAAAUAUAUGAAGAGGCAAAGAAGUAGAACAAAUGGAAUGUCUAUUUAUUUUUAGGCAUCUUUCCAGAUCAUGUCUUAAUACAUGACAACCGGGUUUGACACUAUAUAGUAUUCUACAUGAUCAAUUUUCCCCAAUGGAUGUCCUGAUUAUGAUAACCAUGGUUUGAAAACUAGAAACCUACUCAGUAUGUCAGACGUGUGAGAAUGUAACAAUGCCCACAUAAGACCUGAACUUUUAAGAUGAAACAAAUUUUAAUGGUUAUCUUUCUGUAUAUUCAAUCUGUAGGCACUCUGCAUUGAGGUGUGUAAAAGAAACCAAACCCUAUAACAACUGUUAAAAAGAUAAACAACAUGACAAGCAGAAUAAGAAUAUAACACUGAACAAGAUAGAGAAGCAAAACUAGAAUUUUAGAGCUUUCUCAGUACCUGAAAUGAACUUUUCCCAUCAGCAGGACUAUCAUAAGCUUUCAUGUGCAGCAUAACAGAAUCAAAAUGAGGAAUGACAGCUGACUCAGCAGGCACCAUAAGCCCACAAAUUCCAAGCAAUGCAGCAGCACAAAUUGACCGAAGCAAACUAGAUUUACCACCACCAUUUGGCCCAGUCAGAAGGAAUAGUGAGUGCAUUUUAACAGUGUUCUGUAUGGCAUUGCCUUGCGCAACAUCAAACCAAUAAGGAGAUAAUCCUGAUAACUCCAUUAUGUUAAUAUUUCCUGCUGACUUAUCCUGCACAGAAUUCAAAAAUGAGGACGAGCGGAAUUGGUAGCUGUUAUGGACUGAAAUUUGAAAAAUAACACCAGGUAUAAGAAUGAAACUCCUCAUGGAUAUUAGUCAAAUGCCAAACAAACAAUCAGAUAGUUUUGAAAAUACAAACAAAAUAGGCAACUCUAAAUCAUUGUACAAUCCUUUAGCAUAUUCAAGCAUGCUCAGCUUGUAUUUUGUGUGUCUGACGUGGUCUUUGUUGUUUGAUUUCGUGCAGUGUUGUCAAUGAUAGCUGUUUGGCUGCUCGAUGCAACCCCCUAGGUGCCUGGGAAAAGUAAGCUACCCUGGUAACGAAUGUCUAAAGAGCAGUAGGGUAAAGCAGCCACCGAGAAUCUAUAGCAGCAACCUGGCAGCUUUGGUGUUAGAAAAGCAAUGGACCCUGAUGUAGAUCCCUCACAAGACGCUUAAACAUGCAACACAAUACAUGAUUCUGGUCAAAUGAAUCCGAUAGCAUGAAUUGCUUAUGUCAAAUCUAAAAUUGGAUGACAUCUAGGCUUAGUAAGGCACCAUAGACUCAUCACAUACAUGCAACUUUACUGGACAAAGAUCCUACAUAAAUGUGAUCUCCAACAAAUAGUUUCUUCUUUUUUUUUUUGCAUAUAUACUCAUACAAAUAUACCUUAUUGCAUAUUUACCCUUCAAAAAUCACUUUGAAUAAAUACCCCUCAAAUCUUUCUGUUUUUGCAAUGAUAACCAUCCUGUUACUCAAUAACUGUUCUAUAUGUACAAUGACCUGAUUACCCUUUUAUACUAAUAUUCAUCAAAACUGAUACUUUGUAGUAAAGGCUAAACUGCUAAACACUAAAUUUUUGUUAGGGGUCUCAGCGCAAAGGGGUAAUAUUGUCCUCUUAUAAUUAAAACAGUUAACUAUUGACACCGUAAGUCAAAAAUCUAAUGGGAGGGACAUGGUUGCAAAAGUAAGAUGAUUAGAGGAGUACAUAUGCAAAUAGUGCUUUGUGAAGGCUGAAUAUGCAAUAUGCCAUAUUUGCAGGGGUAUGUAUGCAAAAACUCCAAAUAACAUUAAUAAAAAACAGUGCAUGCACAGAAGGAAUACCUAGCAGCAGCAUCUUUACAGGAAACAUCAUUUUUAAUAUGCCCCAGAUUCAGUGUCAUAAGCACAGGAAUGGAUACUACAUAAUGGUAUAACUUUCAAAGUAUGUCAAUUAUUUAAUGCAACAAGGUCUGGUGACUUCAUAAUGUCAGAAGCAAAAACCAUUAAUAGGUCACUCUUGAACUGGAAACUUGCUGCUUUGAUUCGGAAGCAGAAUUUUUCAGAACUCAAAUUUCUCGACGAGGUUCUUGCAUGACUGCUUCCACAAGCAUUCAGGGAUUACUCUUUUACCCUUUUCACAUGAUGGUAUUCCACAGAGUGCAGUGUCUAAGAAACUUGACUCUAUUAUAUUUAAACAAAACUCAGGUGACAUCCUUAUGGUAUGAGAAUUGGAUAAGAAAUUGAGAUACUUGGAUGAACAAGGUUUCUAGCAUGUAAAGAUUGAUUACAAGGCAAAACUAGCACAUAGCAAGUUAAUCCGAAUCGUCCACAGCUACAAGCAACCUACAUAGAGCAUCUAAUCAACAGAUUAAGAUGCUUAAUAGCUGAUAACUUGGAAUAAUUCUUUUAUUUCAUAAAUUCUCUAGGCUCUAACACUUCUCUCUUACUAUGCGCAUUAGUGCAAGUAAAUGUAUACAUCCACUUACAAAAUUCUUAGAAUAACCUCAUCAUUGCCCAAACCAUGACCCAAACACACACACACACACACACACACACACACACACAUAUAUAUUCAUUCCCCUAUUUGAAGCUUGUCAUGUCCAACAAUACCCAAUAACCCAAUUUAGCUCAAGUUGCUAAAAGGGCUAGGGCAAACCCAAGGUCUGCUGAACCGGUCGGAACCGACCGAUUCAGCCUGUAUCGUACCGGUCCCGGCCAGCACCGGUACAGUACAACCAUAAAAUUCGGUCGGAACCGAACGGUUCCUUGCCCAUACUAGUGCGACGCAUCGGAACUCGCGGGGAAGAAGAAGAGGAAGAAGAGAAGAAAAGGAAGAGGAAGAAAAAAGAGGAAGAAGAAGAGCGAGAAGAGGAAGGAGAGAAAGAGGAGAAGACUACCUAUCAAAGGGGGGAAAGAAGACCUCUCUUGCGGAGAUUUUUGUCUACCGAGCCUCUUUCUUCCUCCCGAGCACUUCACGGGGAAGAAGACCUCCUUUGCUCGCGGGAGAAGGGGGAAAAAAGAGAAGAGAGGAGAGAGGGGAAGAAAAGAGCGGCUUGGGAAGAAAAGGAGAGAAAAAAAAGGAACGAAAAAAAAGAGAGAGGCCAGGGCAGCGCACCCGCGCGCGUUCCAUGCGCAGCGCGCGGGGCAGCGAGCCCACAUAGGCAGCCCACGUGGGCUUUUAAUGCCACUCUGUGGCAUAUCGCAUUUUUUUUUCCUGAACCGGUUCGGUACCGGUUGGAACCGAUACCAAAUCGGUACCCGUCUCUACCGGUAAGUCGGUUCGGUCAGUACCGCGUCCCUUAGGCAAACCUGAGAUAUUUGUCUACAUGCUGGUAAGGUCACGAUGUAUUCACAUCAGCUUCCGCAUCUCUUUGAAUCAUUAGCUCCUUAACCUUAAAGAUCAUGAUUAGAAAUUGUGAUAAUUGUUCGAACUACAUGUCUCAGAGAUUGCAUGUGGUUCUCCGUAGAAACUGCAUGCAUGCUGAGAAUUACUCAUGAUUCAUGUCUCAGAGAUUGCAUGUGGUUCUCCGUAGAAACUGCAUGCAUGCUGAGAAUUACUCCUGAUUUCUUAUUCAUGUAUGACACCAUAUUCUCGUGGUAAUUAAUCAAAAAGAAAAAAAAAUGUCCAAGAAUUCGCUAUAACCGUUAGUCUGUGCUUCAUGCCAUCAAGUUUGUUUUAAGCAUCUCCAAGGCCAAUUGCUAAAGAUAUUCAAACUUGUCUGCUCAAUGAUUUUUUUUAAAAUUAUAACUUAAAUUUUUUCAGUAAUCCUAAUAUAGGUUGAAAACCUAGGUACUGGUUGGAAGAAAAUUAAUAAGGCAUUAAAACAUGUUACUAUCAGAACAUACUGAAUAUUAAAACUUAUAGAAGAAACUUGUCCUCUAAUAUCCAAUGUAGUUAAAAAAGUCAUACCUCAGGACUCUGAAAUUCCUUGAGCUUAGUAAACACCCAUUCCCUUCUUCGGCCUUCACUGCAUUCAAAAGAAUAAUGAACACAAAAAUGCGUACAUUGUCAUCAUCAUUUUGGAGAAAACAUCUACCGAGGUAUUAGCAGGCCACAGGCACAAAAAGACUUUCAUCUUUCAUGAAAAUAAUAACAAUAGCACCAGGAUAUGGUAAGCAUGAGCCCAUAUCAUGAGGUGAUACCAGUUAAGGCAAAGACUGAGGUGGUGGUUGGCAUGAACUGCCAUAUACUGUGCCAGUGUCAUAUUGAAACAUGGCACCGCUGUGUGCCAGGUUGUCUGCCUGUACAUGCUCGCAAGUGCUGCCUCACAACACAGUUGGCACAGCACUGACCAUGCCAGUGUCAGGCUUCCAUGCACCAACAAGCGAUACCUUAAUUGUCCUGUGAAGAACUCAACAUGAUAUAUUCCACAAACACAGCAUGGAUGGCAAAUGGGAGUAGUUAACCAUGCAACCACAUUAAAUGGAUACUCAAGUAUUUAUAUGGUGAGUAGCACCAACCUGGGAAGAUUCAUAUAAUUUUAAAACCAAUUCGUCAAUUAUAUUGGACGACAAUUUAAUGCAAAUGUUGUAGUUUCCUACUGACCAUGAAAAGUAAUCAAGAUUUUAAAGACCAUGGGAUGGUGCCAUCUUGGUUUUUCCAUGAAACGAGACACCCCAUGUCCCGAAACUUGGGACAGUCGAUGCCCUAUCCCGUACUAGUCCAUUUUCCAACUCGUCCUAUCCGACAUUCACGAUGGUGGGAUGCCCCGAACCACCAAUAUUUAAAACCUUUGAAGUAAUUGCACCAUGACAUGUAUUCACAACCACAUAUGCUUUGGUGGUCGCAUGGGGGCGAGGUCAGGAGGUUCACCUUAGUGUCUUAGGGCCUAUUACUGCCCAAAGAGCCUGCCCAACCAACAAGUACAAUAGCAUGCAUGUAGACAUAUUUUGGAUUUGGUACAAAAAAAUUCACUGUAUUUCUAUUGGUAAAAUUGUUUAAUGAAAUUCACAUGAAACAUUGUGAGACAUUUAUUUGGAUAGUUGAGGUGUAUUAUAUAGUUACAAUGAUUUUUAAAUUUGAAGUUCAACAUUCGAUAUCUAGACCGUUUAGCUAGUUUGCCCUAAAUAUGAAGAAAACAUUCGGUAAAGACGAAGAUACACGAAAUCAAGGUUUAAAUAUUCAACCAUGCCAUUAGUGCCAACUGGCAUGUAUCGUAUCGGGCCAAUGUUAACACUCACAAUAGGUCGGCAGGGCACUGAUUAAAUCCUUUUUUAAUUCUUUAAAAUAAAAUGAUUUUUUAUUUUAAGUUCUUUUUAGCACCUUUAUAUUCAGCAUGAGAGAAUUGUGCCGGGUCAAACACAAGCCAACACUGCUAGAGCACAACAGUAUUUAAAUUCUUAUGGAAACCUUAAGCGAAAUAUAACUUUGUAUUUGAGACUCAAGGUUCAAUACACCUUAAAGAAAUUACUUGGUUUACAUGCCUUUUACGUAUAAGGAUACCAAAAUGUCUUGUAGACCUCACAAUUUGGAAAAUACAUGGACCCUUCCAAUAAUUGAUUACUUGAAUGCAAAACUUGUUGAGAAAAAUUUCAUAAAAUACAAAAAUCUAGUCUAGUUUACAAUAACUUACCAGUUUCUACUACACUAACCAAAGGGUACAUAUUUCUCUAGAUGAACAUAAAUUGAAAAUGCUGAGCAGAAGCAAAAAAAAUAAAAAUUCAAAAAGGUACUAAUGGCUCACCUAACAUGACCAAAAAGUGCCUUCGCUAUUACAAGCAACAUGGAAGAGUAAACAAGAAUGUUAAUUUUUGUCUGCAAUUCACCAGAAAGUCCUCUUAAUAACUCCAAAACUUUGUUCUUGGCUUUAUCACUGGCUUCAUGAUACCUGAAAGUAGUGCCCAUCACUGCUAACAAUCAGUUAUCACAAUGGACAUAAAUAUGAAAUCCUACGCACUUAGUAAACCACAUACAAUUACCGUCAAGAAAUUGAACUUGAAUGAUAUUAGACAUUAACUUCACCUGUUUAGAGCAUCCUCCACUUUUAUUGUGGUAAACCAUUCCUCUCCAACCUUUCUCCCUUUUGAAUCCGUAGCAUGUCUGAGUUUCUUGAUUUGUUCUUCCCCAGGGGUGUUAGCCCACACAGCUGGCAUGAAACGCUUUCCUUUAAACCAAACAGCUUCAUGCUCUCUUGCAUAACAUAUUUCACCCUUUGGACCUCCAAGAGGAGAGACGACAGACUUCACUCUUGAAACAAUUGGAAAAAAAUCUUCCAUGACCUAUAAGAACAAAGUAAGUCGAAAUAUGACAGGAGCAAUAACAGAAAGGUGUUGUUUCUGCAAAAGGAAAACAAUUUUAGAUGACCAUACCUAUUCAUGAUAGGGAUGUUAAAGUUGGCUAAUUUACAAUACCUCACUAGUAAUGUACAAAUAAAUAACCAAGACAUUAACCAUUCAUGAUUAAUCAAAAACCAAUAUUAUAAAACAGGAGAAAGAUACGAAAACUAUCAGACAUUGCCCUGACUGACCUUAUCUGUAAGUUUUCUUAUUCCCACCUACAUCUUGCAGAACACAGCAAGCGCUAGUUGAUUUGAUAUCUACAACAUUUACAUAAAUGCUUUAUUAUUUAAAUAGGAAGGACCAUAUUGUAUGAACAUAUUAAAUCUGCUCCUUUUAAUAUUUACCCCACCACCUCCUUUCGAUCUGCGCCUUUAUUCUCCUCUGAUAAGCUUCUUAUUACUUUAUCAUUAUCACGGUACCAGACAGUAACCAUGUAGUUUCCAAAUACACCAGAAUUAGAAGAAAGGAGAAAGAAUGCUAAUCAAGGUCUGCGGUUUCUGAGUCGGAUACCAUACUGGUCCUUUCCAAAUGCACCAGAAUUAGAAGAAAGACUGCUAAUCAAGAUCCACAGUUUCUGAGCCAGACACUGUACCGGUCAGGGACCAGUACGGCAUAAUACUGAACCAUAUCUACCAACACUUGGUAUGCAAACGCAAACUAGUUCAGAACCAGUACAGCAUUUUUUUUCUUUUUUCUGUUUUUUUUUUAAUUUUGAAGAUUAUGUUGAGAUUUAUAGAUGUUCAAAUUAUGAUUUUGAGGAUAUUUUAACAUUAUUUUAUGUCAUAUUGGUCCUGGGAAGCCAUAUGAUUGCUUAAUGGAUACAACUGUAAUAAUUAGACAAACAAUGCAUAGUUUUGAUCUUGAAAAUACAUAUAGCAAAUUGUAAAACACCAUGGCUGGUUGGACCAUGCCAAGCUUCGAAGAAGGAAGAAGCUAGCAGAUUCAUGAAGUUGAAUAACUGGAGAUAGUACCGAAUUUUAGUUAGAUUUCUAUAUCUAUAGUUGAAUAAUUCUAACAUGUUUACUUAUUAUGGUGACCUAUUUCUAGUAUGAUUUUAUAUCGAGUGUCCGAGUUUAAUGCUUGAAUUAGGGGUCAAUCGUACAUAUGUUUCUAAUGUAUUGUAUGACGGAUGGCUUUUGACACGAAGCGUUGAUCAUCCUUAGAUCUACAGCAUAUCAUAAAAUCAUGCUAAAAUACAAAAUUUUGGCAUGAUUUCUACCGAUUUUACCAAUUCUUGACCUAUUUUGGGCAUCAAAAUGAAAAAAAAAGUAAUGCGGAGAAAGGAAGGGAUCAUACCUGAUUUUGCUUGGAUUUGGGCUCAAAAUGGCAUAAAAAAUCCCUCUUCCCCAAAUUUUUCACCCUGAAAUCACUCUUUUUGAGGAAGAAAAGGGAGAAGGCCAUAGGGUGGCCGACUCCGUAUCCCCCUUGAGGUGAUAAGGGGCUCGAACCGUCUCGAACUACUCCAAACCGGGUGGCUCUACUCAGUUUGGGCCGCUUCAGCCCCUUAUCGACCCAAACAACCGAACCAGGUGACUCGGGUCAGUAAGACCUUCCUUGCUACUAAUGCUGUGAGUUAAAAAAAAUGCAAAGCGAUCAUCUAAUAAGUUCAACUUCAACACAAUAUUACUUUCUAGAUCCAAUGUUUUACCGUUACCAUCCAACUUGGCAGAUUUUUCUUCCCUAUUUCUUCUACAACAUGUUGUUCCCAGCAUUUACCUAUGAACUUUAAUUAAUAAUAAAAAGCAAACGACACCUUUUUUUAAGAAAUAACUUAAAAAUACAUAGAACCUAGCAGGUCGAUUAAGAUAUCGUGCUGUUCAAUGGUAUUUAAUAGGACCAUUCAGCCUUUUACUUCUAUAAUUUAUUUGAAAGAGACCAAUGUCCUAAUAUUUUCUAAAAACUUUUCACCAAGUCUUCUCAGAUCUCCUUCCAACAUCCAUUAUACCUUCUUUUAAGUUUUAACCCUUAGUAUCACAAUUCCCUCGUCUCGGCAAAACCAGACUUAUCACUAUGUUCACGACCAACAUCCAUCAAUUCUAGCUAUGAUUUUUCAUCUCUAUAAAACUAGAUGGCCAAUUUCAUAUCUCACAGUUAAACAUGCACAUCUUUCAUAUUCCACAACCAACUGUUGAACUAUAUAAUAUCAGAGUGACUGCACCCUUUCCUGUGUCAUCGAUAUCCUCUCAUAUUUUUUCACAAAUAACAUACCUACUUUGAUAUUACAGGGCAACGGGCACCUCAUAAUUCAAGAAACUUCUCUAAUCUCUCUCAAAUCUACCAGUAUCAUUACCAGCAAACCCUGUAGCUUUGCAUAUUUAAACUUAGAUGAAUGAAUAAGACAAAUUUGAACCUCUAGAACAUCCAAAAAUGAGAGCAAGAAUGAAGGGAAGAGAAAAUAUCAGGACUUAAUCAAAAGAAGACAAUGGAAGGCUGCUCCUGAACUUAAUCAACUCUAGAGGGUGCCAACUGGUUGAAUUGGCAAAGUCACUAGUAAUUUGAUAGCAGGGACCUGGGUUCGAUCCCACCCUCAUCCUGAUAUCAUCCAGCUUCCUCCCAUCAUAGUUCUCAAAAAGGGGAAAAAAUCUUAGACUUAAUAAUAUCUAUUUUUUUCCUCACCCCACGAUGAAAAUUUGAGUAAGUUGGUGUCACAAUUUUGCACUGUUCUCUCCGCAUCCUCAUUUACAGCUUACAACUAGUAGUCAGAAAGAAAGAAGCUACUUCCCUGGUUUCAAUUUAGCUGACACUUGGUUGAAAGAAACUUCAGCUUAGAGUGGUGCAUUCAGAAUCUCUUUGAAAACUCAUCCCUGCAUCUGCUUCCUCAGAGUUUGUUUACUGAAAUUUUUUUGGAGACCACUACCUGGUACCCACACCCAAAUCCACUCCCACACCUGUGACAGCUUAUGGUACCUGAGGUGUCAUAUAGUUCACCCCCUCCUGCUAUUUGUGGUUCAUUGUAAAGCAUCUUCUUUGUAAAAAAAAGAAGCAAGAAUACACUGAAACACAUCAAGAGCCAUUUGAUUUUCAAUAUAUGCCAUAUCAUCAAUCAACGGCUGCUCUUUCAAUGUAAAAACACAUUUGUGAUUCCUUUGCAGCCACCAAUUCCAUCAUUUGGUAAAUUAUGCACAAUACAUUUUAUUAGGGCUGCAAAUGUGCCUGGUCAACUCAUGAGCCAACCUGGUCUCCACCCAAUUAGGCCUAGCCCUACUGAAUAUUUUAGACCUGCGGAGGGUAUGUGUGCCAAAAAAAUAACCUGUUUGAGAUAUCAGGUUGGGUUUGGGUCAUAUGUAUUCAUAUCUGACUUAGAGUCAACCAGAACUGUGUACUAACGAGAUCUAAAAUAGGUCAACCAUUAUAUGACUUAAGCAUAUUCAAGAACCUACUCAAUGCCGUGAAAGUUUGAAAGCAUAUGCUCAAUAUUUUUCCUUUUUAAAAGUGAGGGAGUUAGGUGUAAGAGAAGACUAAACUAGGAAACAGAUCCUAAGGCCUAGUUCAGAAUUGGGAAUCCUUGUUUUUGGCAUAAGGAUGUGCUAAACCAGGUGGGUCAACUCAUAUCGGGGCCUAAUUUCUGUUCAGGAGAAAUGCUGUCAUGCCCAGAAAUUAUUGCAGUUUUGUUGUUGUCUGUAUUGAUGCUAAGAACAAUAGAAGAAAAAUAAUAAACCAGAUGGGUAAGCUGAUAUCAGGGGCUUGCGAUUUUCUUUGCCCUUGGAUCGUUUCCAAAUGAUUUUACAAUCAACAAUACUAUGACAUAAUAUUCCAUAAUAUAUACCCUAACAUAACAUUACAUCAGAAUAUGGUAUAAUAUGAAAUUGUAUAGUAAUAUUAUAAAAUGAUAAUACUAUUAUUAAAUAUGCCAUACUAUUUAAAUUAUGAGGGGCAUUUCUGGGUUAAAGAAAAUCAAAUGGGUUUAAACCACCUGGGCAUAGCCAAUGCCAGCCCUCUCCUGAUAUGGACCACACCCCUAAGCCCAAUAACCGGAUCGCAUGUUUGGCAGUCAUUCCCAGAUUGCAUGUUUGGCGGUCAUUCCCAGUUCAAAGAUGGAUUAAAUAGGUUUAUUCCCAAUCCAAGCUGCAUUUGAAUGCACUAGGCAUUUGACCUUAAAUACAUAUGAAGAGAUUAAUCAAAAUUUUACUUGCAACCUACCCCUCAAAACUAGCAAUCCAUUUUGAAGUAUUAAUACCUGUGAGCAAGGUACGCCAUCUCGGUAUCGAGCCACGUACCAGUGCCACCCUGUCACUAUAUUGGUACGCCCGGCACGGGGCUGGUUCGGUGUACCAAGUGCCGGUACGCCCCCGACACUGUGCAGUGACACCGAACCUGUACAAUGCAAUAUCCCCAUACCGUCCAGUUCGGUACGGUAUGGCGUAUUGUGCCUGUGAGAAUGAUUGCAUGAAAGCUUUGAGGACUUGCGCGAGCGUAUGUUUAGUCCCACAUUGGUUAUUCGCUAGGUAGAUUUUGAGUACUUAUACAGGAUCAAGGAACCCAAAUAAUAACUUCCGGCUAGCUAUUUUGGGUGAGGUCCUGGGUUAUUACAAAUGGUAUCAGAGCGAACCUGACCCAUAACCUAUGUGGACUAGGAGAUACUGCAGCACGGAUCCAUUGAGGCUGACCACAGGCUGAUCGUGGUGUUUGUGAUUAGAUUUGAAUGAAUUUGAACCCUUAGCCUGACGAGGACGUUAGGGCUUAAACGGGAAAAGUAUGUGAGGUCCCGUGCGGGCGUGUUUAGUCCCACAUCGGUUAUUCGUUGGGUAGAUCUUGGAUACUUAUACAGGAUCAAAAAAUCCAAAUAAUACUUUCUGGCUAGGCAUUUUGGAUGAGGUCCUGGGUUGUCACAAAAGCAUUACAAAAAAAGAAUUGAUUCAACUGACUGUCAUGCUGCGCUUGAAGAGCCCCAAUCAUUUUUAAGAACUUUUUUCUUGCAAGGUUCGCCAUACCGACCGUACCAACGUACCGGUGCGGUCCGGUACCGAUACGGUACCGAUAUCGAACCGAGCCGAACCGAUACCGUACUGAAAGUGCCACAAUGCAUAGCACUUAGCAUGUGGCUUUAGCCACGCGCUGUCUUCCAUGAAGAACACCUCGUACUAGUGCGAACCGGCUCGGUUCGCACCAAUAUAGGUAUGUAUCGAAUGAACCGAGCCGGUACAGGCCAUGAACCGAUCGGUUCCGACCCAAAUUGGGUCAAAACCGAUUUCAAUAGCCGUACCGUACUAGUGUCGACCGGUCGGUUCAACAGACCAUAUUCUCUUGUCUAGUUACAUAUCCACAAAAUUUUUAGAGAACUAGGACAAUGCUCCAUUUAAUAUUUCCAUAUUUGACCUUGGCGUGACAAUCUGCUUUCUAUUCUUGUAAUAUCAUUAUGUUAAUCUUGAAUCACAAUACCUUCAUCGAGUCGAACAUGCGUGCUGCAACCAUUUGACUUCAAGGUGCUCGUAAGGAGGAUAUAAAGAACCUUUGCAACAGAUGAUGUUUUAUAAACAUCUGUUUAAGUGUCAUCAGAUGAUAUUUCCUUUGGGAGACAGGCUAAUGAAAUGGGAAUUCUAAUUUUAGUUAAUUAACCCAACAGAACUUGAAAAAUCUAGGAGUUUUACAAGGCUGCGCUCUCAAUAUUCCAGAACAAUGAAGGUACUGUGAUUUGAUAAAUGAAAAUAUUUCUAAUCUAGCAAUUUUAAUACCAAACAAGUAUUUAAACAAAUGCUAAAUUUACUGUUGUGGAUUGAUUUGAUAAAUUUCAUUCCACCCUAGAGUUGCCCAACAUCAUUUUUAGUAAUUACAGUGGCAAGUGGAAGGAUUAGAAGUUUAGAACAGAAGUAAUCUAUGAUCAGUUCUGCUUCUGCUCUAAGAUCGUAUUCCCCUGCUCCAUACCUUUGGUAUCAAAAACAUAAAUUCUUGGGACUAUAUAAUGCAAUGCAACCAUGAAGAUGUACUAUUUACAAUAACUGUAAAUAGUUGUAUAAGUUAUUUGUAUGCUUGUAUAUUAAGUUUGUCCGCUAAGCUAAGGGGUCAGGAUAAUAAGAUAUUUUGUGCUUAUAUCCACUUAAUAGCUGAUUGGCAUUUUCAUUCAAUUUAAACCUUGUUCCUCAGGCUGCAGCAUUCAUCAUUCUUCUUAUCUGAGCACAAAACAGCUUAUACAUAACUCCUUUUGCAUUCUAUAAGCAGACUGCAGAUAUGCUCUUUUAUGUUUGGAAGUUAAAAUAGAACAUACUUUAGUAUUCAAACUCAAUAAGAAAGGAGCUCCAAUUCAUAAAUUAUAUAUCAACACGUACUUUUCAGCAUUGUGUCACUUUGAGGAAUAUUUUGCUAACAAUAGUAACUUCUGGAUAUUUUGGUCCAACCUUAUGGUUUAUAUCAUAUAGAGAAAACUGACCACCCCCAGAAUUAGAGUCCCCUUCCCUUUUAUCUGAAAUGUUUUUUGUCCCUCCACUUUAUUUAGAUUAAAAGUCAUUUUGUUACCACAUCUCAGUGAUACCACCUUCAUCUUACUUCUCAAUGGAGUUACAGACGGAGUGCUGCUCACAAAUGCAACAAAAAAGAAAAGAAAAUUCUCAACAUGGAAGAACUUCUAUCGGUAUUAGUAACUACCAAUGGCCCAUUUAUUCUCAAAUAUAUGUAGUUGAAGAUCUCACUUAAACUUUUAUAUAUAGCAUAAGACAGUGGAAGAUACUACUCUUAAUUCAGAAACCUGCUACUGCUAUUAUAACUAAUUUAUAUGCAGGGUGAUGAUGCAGAAUGAUAUACAAGGCACAGUUUAAUAGUUGACUUUCAUUUGUGUAUGUAUAUAUAUAUAUAUAUAUAUAUAANNNNNNNNNNNNNNNNNNNNUAUAUAUAUAAAGCUUGAUAUGAAAAGCAUGCUGAAAUAGAAAGACAUUGAUGGAUCCAAAACCUACUGCAACAGAUAAGGCCUUGGCAGCCCUCUCCACUUCUGCAAAUGCCUCCUCUGCAUGGAUCCUCUUCACACGGCCUCUCCAUGAUGAUUCCAUAUCCUCAAAGAACUCUCUAGGAAUGAAUUCGAAUGAAUUUAUUUCUUGAUCACUUUCACCACUCAAGGAGAUUAUUUCACCUAUCCUUUGUGAAACCAAACUGCAUUCAUUCACCUAACGAGGCAACAAAACAAAAGUAAGAAUUCCAAAAAAAGAAAAUCCAUAUCAGCACCUCUUGUGUCUUAAGAUGGCAUACAGUUUGAACAAAUAAAAGCAAAAUAAGUAUAGAAUUAACCUUUUAAGUAGGGACUACAUUAUAAAUAACAGAAUAAAGAUAAAUAAUCUGCAUAAUUUGAAUAAUAAGAAAUGGUUCCCAGCUUUUCAUCUUAUGACAAAAUAUUCAAGCAGGGUAGUUUAUCUAAUGUUGUGUUGGUUGUGCACAUCAAGGCAUAUCCAAGAUGGCUUGAAAUACAGUGCUUUUGCAGGUGGUUCUCGGCUUCUGCUCCCUGGUCCACACAUAUAGUUAAACAGUUUCUUGUAACCAUGAAUUGAUGGAUCAAACUGGGAAGGGCUACUCAUUGUUACAACCUACAAUAGCCUACAGCUAGACUACCUUAAAAAAGAAUGUCGUGCUGGUAAGUUGUUGAUUGAGGACUAAAUUAUAUUUCAAAUGCAAAGAACAACAUAACCAUAGCCAACAUAUGCUAACCAUCAUCUGUAGGGGUGAAAGUGGAUCGAAUAAUAUCCGUUCCGAUCCAUUUUCGUAUCCAAAAUUAUCCGGAUAUAGAUAAAAAUUUGAGCAUCCAACUAAUAUCCAUAUCCAUAUCCAUAUUCGUCAAAGAAAAAUGGAUAUAAAUAUGAUAGACAACUAUCCAUAUCUGACUAUCUGAUUCCAUUUGUAACCCUAUUUAAUUUUAUGUAACAUUCAUAAACAAAGAUAUACAAAUAAUAUUCAGAUCUUAAAAUUAAUUCCUUAAAGGAAUAGAUUAGUGCAUUACCUCUUUAGAUCACCCUUCCUUGGACCUAGUCGAGUGCCUGACGAUCUCAAUGAAAUCUCGAAGUAGAGUCUUCGACGGAGCUUCUCUUGGAACUUCUCCCGACAAAGAUCUCAAUGAAAGCACCAGUGUUGGCCCGCGGUUGUUGCGGUCCCAAACCCCGCGCCAAGGAUCCGCCGAGGGAGAUGGGAUGGUUGUCGUGGGACCGUCUUUGGGCGGGUAAUGUGACUAUCUCUUGCUGCCUCGAAAUCCUUGUCUAUGCUCGAAGAUCCUAUCUAAGGGCUCGGCAAGAAGCAUCACACGAUAUGGAGAAGAAAACAAUGAAUUCAAUUCCAAAAGACAACGCAAACAAGAACUCUAGUAAGGACGGGAAGGGUCUAUACUAGCCUAAUACAAUCUAGAGAGGAUUGAUUUAUCCUACUCUAGCCCAAGUCUAACGCCUAACCCCUAAACCGAAAAUAGGCACAAGUGCCUCCCAAGCCUUGCGGCCGACUCCUUAAGGGACUUACAACUCAAAUAAGCAAAUACAAUGAUCAAAGAUAUGUCUCACAAAAGGCCUAGGACUCCCUUAUAUAACCUAAGACUCAUGUGCCAUACAUGGCUUAUUGACGGGGUAAUUGAAACUACCUCCUAAUCAUAUGGGGAGAAAAUUCAAAUUCAAAUUCAAACUUCUCCCAUGUGGGUCACAUGCUGACAAUCAAAUUAAGAAGGUGAGCAUGAAAUAAAGUUCCUAAUCAACCGCAUGAGGAGAAAUUCAAAUUCAAAUUCAAACUUCUUCCUUGCGAGUCACAUGCUGAAUGCGCGUGUGAUCUUCUUAGGCCGUGACAUGUGUCCUCCUUCAGCGGAUUGCUGAUGUGUCGCGCCAAGGAGAAAUUCUUCGGUUGCACUUGGGCGCAUAAAAAAUUUCUUCCUUGUUUGGCGCAUGCUCUUGGUUGGCAUCCCGCGGAUCCUUGUUUGAAAUCUCCCAUGUGCUGCACAUGGGCGCUGAUCUUUGGCCCGCUGAAUCUGGGCCUUGCUCUCCUGGAUCGAAUGGCCAUAGAAGAGCCCUGGGACUCCUUCACGGAUUGCUAAUGUGGGCAUUCCCGGAAUGGGGGGCUUUUCCAUUAUGCCCCCACACAUGGGGCCUUCCGAUGGUUGCCACUUGACUAAGCUUGCUGCUGCCCGCGGCUAGCCUUGAUGCACGUUGCGACAAGUGUUCUCCUUCCUUGUUUGGCCAUGCACACGGAUUGCUGAAGUGGUGCAUGCAUGGCUUGAUGAUCAUUGGCCUGCUGAAUCCAGGCCCUUG